GCAUGAGUGGCCAAUGAACGAUACUAGCCCCCCCUCUCUAGGAUUUAGCCACGCCCUUCAUUCGUUACUGUGAGUAUUUUCAGAACAGAGGUUGUGGCAGUUUCAGCAUCAAAUACCUGUUAAAGAAGAAAAGAUAGUUGAACUAGAAACAGAAAAUGCUGUUCUGUCCCUGAGAUUGGCAGAGAUAACGAAGUAAUGUUUUGCUCUGACCAAUGAGCCACAGCACUUAUGUCUUUCAGGAAUGGCUCUAGAUGUGGUCAUCGUAUACUACCCUGAAAGAACCGCCAGAGUUCCAGGACGGCCACCUUUCACUUAAGCAAACUUGUCCACAGACUGUGUGGGUCCCAUCAGCUGAGAGUAGCCUUCACAUUGCAGUGAUGUGCAUAUUUCUGCUUUUCAGCCACGAUGGACUUUAGGAUCUUCCCUGAGGACCCUACACGAACCACAGGUGACCUGGAUGCAGAAGUCCUACCUGUAGCUGCCAUCCAGGGCAUAAGUCCCUCAGUGAGUGAAUUCCAGAUGGUUCUGUCUAAAGCAGCAUCGAGCAGGGUGGUGGGAUAGAAUGACAGUUGUGAGCAGUUCCCAUCGGCAUCAACUGUACCACAGACCCAGUCUCAGUGUGACACAGAAGACAACUACCUGGAAAGUUCAUCCACAGAGCACGUAAUUCUGAUUGGUGCAACAGUCUGGAAGAGUGAAAGACGUCAUCUCCCAAGGGCAAGUGCUGUGCUAGUGGACACUGAGGAGCUGCAGGGAUCAGACCCCUCCCCAUCCUUCUCCAGCCUCUCUUGUUCUUCCUUGAGAUGUUUCCUGCAGACCUGAAAGAUCCAGGCAGUCCAUGACAUGGGUUUGAAUUUAAUCUCAGGACAUUUUAUUCAUUGCCCAAAAACUAAGACCAGAUAAAAUUUAUUUAUUCAUUCAUUCAUUCAUUCAUUCAUUCAUUCAUUUCUUAUAUAUAAGUACAGGGUAGUUGUCUUUAGAAACAACAGAGAGGUCAUCAGAUCUAAUUAGAGAUAUUUGUGAGCUGCCAUGUGGUUGCUGGGAUUUGAACUCAGGACCCCUGGAAGAGCAUUCAGUGCUCUUAACCAUUUAUCAAUCUUUCCCAUUUCCAAGGUAACUUUUUUACUUUCAACAAGGUAUUCUUUAUUCAGGUUACAUCCUGAUCCCAGCUACUCUCCCUCUUCCCUUCCCAGUCCCACCAUACAAAUCCUUUCUAACAAUGCUCUCCCUUCUCUUUGGAGAUGGGGAUACUCCCUGGGUACCACACCACCCUGGGACAUCUAGUCCCAGGUGGACCGAGCACAUUCUGCCCCACAGAUUUACAAUCAGGCAGUCCGGGUAUGGGGAAGAGAUCCAAUGGCAGGCAACAAAGACUGAGACAGUCCUGGAUCUACUUGUCAGAUGACCCACAUGGAGACCAACUGCAGAUAGCUACACCAGGCUCUGGAGUUGGUUGCACAGGCUCUAGUAUACAUGGUCCAAAGUAUCUGACUGUAGGGGACUUCUUGUAGUGUUUUUGACCCCUCUAGUUUGCUCACAAUUCUCCCUCACUCUUCCACAAGACUUCCCAAGCUCCAUCUGAUGUUUGGCUGUGGGUUUCAGCUUGUGGAUGAAGCCUCUUCAGAGACAAGUAUGUUUCUUUUCUGUCCACAAGUAUAUCAGAGUAUCAUAAAUACUGUCAGAGGUUAUCUCUGUCACAUAGAUGGAUCUCACUUUGGGGCAGUCAUUGAUUGGUUGUUCCCUCAAUCUCUGCUAUAUCUUUAUCCCUGCACAUUCAUUAGCAAGAUAGAUUUUGAGUUGGUGCUGUGAGUGCAUUGAUGUCCACUUCCUCGUCUAGAAGUUCUUUCUUGCAACAAGAGGUAGCCAUUUCUGUCUCUUGCUCUGGUAGGAUUCUAACCUAGGGUCACCCCCGUAGACUCCCCCUAUGCUCUCCCUUACCAGCCAUCCAGCAAGUCACCAGAGAUCCCUGCUCCCUCCUGCCCAGAAAAUUUGUAUUCCCACUCCCAUCCCUCUCCCAAACCCCUCUCCCUUGACCUGAUCACUAUUUCCGUCUCCUUUCCUGCCUCUUCUCUUAACCUGUUCCAUCACUUCAUCCUUCUGAGAACUAUUUUGUUUUCCCUCUGAGUUAGAUUCACACCUCCUCAUUUAGGCCGUCCAGAAUUCUUUCUUCUUGUCUAUCUAUCUGUUAUCUUACACUGUAUGAUAAUGUCCACCUAUAAGUGAGUACACACCAUACGUUUUUCUGUGGUUCUGGGUUUCCUCACUCAGGAUAACAUUCUAAAGUUCAUCCAUUUGCCUAAAAAGUUCAUAAUGUAUUUAUUUUUAAUAGCUGAAGAGUAUUCCUUUGUAUAGAUAUAUACCAUAUUUUCUGUAUCCAUUUUUCAGUUGAGGGGUAUUUAGGCUUUUUUUAGUUCUUGGCUAUGACAGAUAAAACCAGUAUGAACAAAGUUCAUCAAGCAUCCUUGUGGGAUGGUGGGGCAUCUUUUGCGUAUAUGUCCAGGGGUUGUUUUGCUAAGUCCAGUGGUAAAACGAUUCCCACUUUUCUGAGAAACUGCCAAUAUGAUUUUGAAAGUGGAUAUACAAGUUUGCAAUCCAAGCAGCAAUGGAGGAGUAUUCCCUUUUUUCCACAUCCUCACCAGCAUGUGCUGGAUGUCACUUGAGAUUUUUAUUUUAGUCAUUCUGAUUCAUGUAAGUUGGAAUCACAGGGUGCUUUUGAUUUGGAUAUACCUGAUGACCAAGGAUGGUGAACAGUUCUUCAAGUGUCUCUUGGCCCUUCGAAGUUCCGCUGAUGAAUUUAGCUUUGCACCCCAUUAUUAGAUUAGGAUAUCUGGUUUCUUGUAGUUUAACUUGUUAUUUAUGUAAUUUGGAUAUUAGUCUUUUGUGAGAUAUAGGCUUGGUGAAGAUCCUUUUCCAACCUGUAGUCUGCCAUUUCUCCUAUCAAGUGUGUUCUUUUCCUUACAGAAGCUUUUCAGUUUCAAGUUUCGUUUAUUGUGGAUCUCAAUAUCUGAGCACCACUGGGGUUCUGUUCGGGAAGUUGUCUCCUGUACCAAUGUGCUCAAGCCUAUUUUCCAAUUUCUCUUGUAUCAGGUUUGACGGAUAAGGUUUUAUGUUGAGGUCUUUGAUGCAAUUGGACUUGAGUUUUGCAGAGCUUUAUACAUUAGGGUCAUUGCAUUCUUCUUUAUGCCUGUAUCCAAUUAGACCAGCACCACCUGUUGAAGAUGCUUUCUUAUUUUUGUCAUAUGAUUUUGCCUCCUUUCUUGACAAUAAGCAUCCAUAGUUGUGUGGGUUUAUUUCAGGGUCUUGGAUUUAAUUUUAUUGAUCAAUCUGUCUGUUCCUAUACCAAUACCAUAUAGUUGUAUUACUAUAGCUCUGUAGAACAGCAGUAAAUCAGAGAUGGUGAUUCCUCCUGAAAUUCUUUUAUUGUUCAGGAAAGUUUUAGCUCCCUGUGUUUGUUAAAUAUUUCACUUGAAGUUGAGAAUUGCUCUUUUAAGGUGUGUAAAGACUUGUUUUCAGCUUUGACAGGUAUUGCCUUCACAAUUUAGAUUGGUUUUAGUAAGAUGGUAGUUUUCAAAUUAUUAAUCCUACCUGUCCAUGACCUUUCUUAUGAUAUCUUCUUCAAUUGCUUUAAUUGGAGAUUAAAUUUUUUGUCAUACAGAUCUUUCCUUUUCUUAUAAUUGCACUGAGGCCUUUUUGUUAUAUUAUUUGUUGCUAUUGUAAAUAGUAGUGUUUCCCUAAUUUGUCAAUCCCUUCAUUGUUUGUUUAAAAGAGUCCUACUGAUUUUUUUUAAUUAAACUUGUAUCCAUAAACUUUGCUGAUGGUGUUUAUCAAAUGUAGGAGUUAUCUGUUCUUUUUAGCUUUGUCAGUCUUGGACCCAGAGGGCAGAAUGAACGACUGUAAAGAUGACAGGGUGUUUCCUCUAUCCUAUCUUCUCCUUUGUCAUUCCAAGGGCAGUAAGCCUAGAAAUUACCUUUCCAUUCUUUCUCCAAACUCCAUUUGCUUACCAGACAGUGAUAGCUGAGAAUUCCAGACCACUACUGUGUCAUGUGGACCCUGUCUGCAGGAGAAUGGUCUCUUAGGGCAGGUGAAAUGUUGCCUGUAUGUUCUUCAAUUUGCAUGAGGUGGCUAGAAGGAGGUUUUUAUAUAAGGCACACAACACAUCAUUCUUCAACAAUGUGAGCCUUCAGAUCUGAUGUAAAUAUUUGAGAUUGAAUAUCUAGUUCAUGAUUUAAUUUCAAAAAUUCUAAAGAAAGGUUUCAGAUUUGAUGCUAGGGAUUUUAUUUUUAUCAAUUCAAAUCAACAUUACACUAAUCGUUGGUGGACAUUAUAGGUGACAGUUCUGUUAGAGAGUUAACUAAUUCUUCAGAGGUUCCAAAGACUCUAGGACUCUCACAGCAUUACACAGCAUUCUUGCAGGUAGGAGCAAAGAUGUCUGAGAAGAGUGGGAGCUCAUAGGUGGCCGUCAAACAUAGCUAUCUGAAAAGAUGUAAAUUUAGUAAAGAGAUGUAGAUACACUGUCAGGAAAGGAAGAAGCGUGUUGCUGUACCUCCUGUGACUUAAGUGCUAGAAGAACACUUGUGUCAGUCGAGUCUGCAACUCUUUCUCAGCAUAAUAGAGUUAUUUAAUUUUAAUUCCUGAAUUUUGCACUGUCAUUCCUUAGGUGAUUUAUGGAAAAAGACCUCAGUUUGCUUAUUUUAUGUGAAAGGGGAUUUUAUGAUUUCAUCACAUUUUCUAUUUUCAGAAUCCCUAAUGUGGGUUCAGAAGAUUUUUCUGAUCCAUAGAAAUCUGUGCAUCAGUGAAAUAUGCACACUUUCAAAUAAAACAGAAGCAUUUUCAACCCAAAAAUUCUUUUUAAUACAAGCUAUACGAUCAAGUGUUGAAAUACAAGCAUAAGUAUUUUUUUUUACAUUUAUCGAGUUUCCUAUUUGAAAGUGUGUCUUUGCUUUUUCCUCUGUAAGAGAAUAGAAUGUCCCAGAGAGCUGAUGAAGGAUUUGCACACUUGUCUUGCCUAGGAAGUGCAUUCUCCUUGUUUCUGCAGCACAUGGGCAGCCUUUGGUGGCAUAACAAUACCUCCCAAAGAAGAGCAGGUACCUGCUAUCCCUAGUGCAUGGGAAGACAGAUGCACUCAAGAACCUGCAAGCAUCUGAAAAAUCUGCAUGUGUGUUUGUGAGACCUGUAGUGAAAUAGACUUGGCCAUCCCUGGGCAGUGAGGUCAGAUGUGAAUAUGUGUUGUAAGAGCACAUUGAAUAGCAUACAUUACUGUGGGGAAAUGUCUCCUUUCACUGCCCCAUGCUAAUGCCUGGACUCCCCAAACAUAUUCACUGAUAAGCCCAUUGCCUUAAAGGUCUUCUGGUCGUUCAUGUUUGAAAUGUAAGUGGCCACUCAGUACUGAUGGAAUGAAGGUAUGCUUUAUUAUCAUGGCACAAGGUACACUGAUCAGUUCCAGCAGGCUGAAGGGUCAGUGAGAUGUUGUGUCCCCUCACUCUCAUGCAUACUUUGCUUGAGCAGGGCAGCAGGACAGCAUCCAAAUCUCAGGGGAUGGGUGAAAUACAAGGAGGGAGUGAGGCGGUUGUUACUCAAAGGAUGUAAAGUUCAGAUGAACAGGGAAUGACUGUGACUACUGUUAUAUGGUAAACUGUGACACUCCACAGUGUCCUGUAAAAAAUGCAAAGGAACUUUAAGAAAGGGAAGGCAUGUUUGAGGGUUUAAGGAAUUUGGGGGGAACAUUUUUGGAAGAGCAGAAUUUAUAUAUUAGAAUUAGAGUUUGUAUUUCGAUAUUUUAAUUUACAGGUUUUUUAAAUCUGUGGAGAUAUCCAUUAGAAACUAGAUUUGGUCCUGAUCGAGGACCAUGUCUUCUUAUGCACCCUGUCCUGUGUGGGAUUUGUGGCUCUGACCUACUGUUUUCCCUGGUCUCUGUACCACUUCAUUUUCUGCCAAAUCCUACAUGAGUCUUCCUCUGUCCAUUCCCAGGUAAUAAAGUGUUUUCAGAAACACAUAUACUCAUGAAUUUAUGAUACAAUUAAAGCAGAAUAGGUUGGUUGAUUGACUUGGCAGAAGAAAUGUUCAUCUCCUAAAGUGCCGGGUGAUUAUGUUUAUUUACAAAAUUUUUCAACUUAUUCACUCAAGGCAUUGGGAGGUAAGUGCCAGUCUUGAGGUUGCUUAAUCAUUUUUAGCAGUAUACAGAUAGUACUGCCCCUGCUCACCCUGUGAUCCCAGGCAGUCACAUACAUGACAGGUUAGGGGAUCAGACGAGAAACCAUAUGUGUGUGUAACUGUUAACACUGUGAGAAAUGAACACAGAACCUGUGCAGGUUGAUUGAAGGACCCUAUAAGACAUUAUCUGUUAGGUAGGCUCUCUUGAGAUAGUAGAGGGCAUGGGGAAGAGUCUCCUCCAUCGGAAGGCUCAGGAGGCAGGAUCGCAAGUUGGCUGGGAAAGUUAGGUCUCCAGGUGAUACGAGUAUUCAAUGCCACAGUAAAUUGAUUUGUACUCUACAAGCACUGUGGGGACUCUGUUUUUCUUGAGAAGGCAGAAGCAAAGUCCCAUAUUCAAUGAGCAGGUAAUCUACCCAGGAAAACUUCUGUGGGUAGGCAUACCGCUUUUGCUUAUGAGUGGCCAAUGAACAAUACCCACCGCCCCUCCCCCUACAGACUUAGCUAUGCCCUGAGGGGAUUUCCAGAACAGAGUUAGUGGCAGUUUCAGCAUCAAAUGCCAGUGAGUAUGAAGGGAGCCCAGGGAGUUUGAAACCAUCUCUCCAUGCUCUAAGGGACGUGGAAAAAAUAAGAGAACUGGGGUUGUCAUCGUAGCACUGUUUUCUGAGUCUUGAGUUCCCUUGGGAUGGAGAUCAAAUUUUCAGAAUCUUAGGGAAGUUGACCUGUUUGCUCCCAACUGUCUUUAUGGCUCCUUCCUCAAACUCCCACUUGGGUCCUCUCUGACCUUGCAUUUGCAGCAUCAGCACAUCUAGGUCCCCUGACUUGGCACCUCCCUCAGCUAUGCUGAACAUUCACAGACUCCAUACUGAGCAGGAUUUGGGAGUACAGCUACUAAUACCAAAAAUUAUGUAACCCUACUCUUUGCCCUCGUAGAGCACACAGCAGAAUAAAUAAAUGGAUAAAGUGAACAAAAAUAUAAACACCAUGUGUGGUAAUGGCUGCCAAGUAGAGAGUCUGGACCUUACCUGAUCUGAAAUCAGCCCCACCUAAGGCUUAUGGACAGGAUACUGGGAAGGGGAAAAACAUUUGAAAUGUAAGUAAAGAAAUAUAUCUAAUAAAAAAUUAAAAAACCAACCAACCAUACAAACAAACAAACAAACAAAAAAGACUAUACUGUGACCUUACCCAGAGAGAAGAUGAUCUGAUCUGCCUCUUAAAAGUGAGAUUUUAGCAGGUAGUGCUUGCUGACCAGAGAGGUCAGAUGCUUACUGAGCAGCCCCUUAGAAGACAAGGCUUGACUUCCAACUAGCAGACAAGGAAGUCUGUGGGCAUGCUCCAAGGAAACUGGUGAGAGCCGCAGGCAGCAUUUUGGAUCUUUGCAAAUUUGCCUAAGUGUACAUUGAAGGAAGAAAUCUCUGUUCCAGCAACAAGUGCUCAGGUCCUUAAGGAGAGCACAACUCUCCCUGCUUCAAGCUCCAGAAGCUACCCAGAAGCUUCAUCCUGGGACUGUACCUUAGCACUAACUCAGGACCACUUUACCUCACCUUGAGAGACUAAUCUUAGGACUUCCAUCCAUCCCAAGAUACAGCUGGGCUUGUAGCAUCAAUUUCAGACUCCAGGGCACACCAAGAAUGCACACUGUAAUAAUCUUUGUGGGCUGUCUCCACAUUUGAGCAGAGGUUUCUGUGGGCUUGAGAUUGGAAGUCUUGGGUCCAAGAGUUGGCUCCAGUUCUCCUCAGUUUGUAGGUAGCAGAUUCCUCUUGAUGUCCUGUGUUCUCCCUCUGUACCCUUCUAAUGUCUGUGGCUCUAGGGUUCCCUUCAUAAGGACCCCAAAGACAUUACAACAGAGCCCACUUUUCAGGCUUCCUUGAAUCGAUGACCUUGAAGGAACUGUCUUUUAGUGUCACCUGCUUAGUGUCAGGGACUUCAUCCUUCACCAUAUGAAUUGGGGUGUAUCUUGUCCAACCUAAGGCACUCAAGAGAGACUCAUAGGGUCAGGGCAAACCUGACAGAAAUUUCUCACAGAGCCCCAUUCUAAUUGGACCAGACUUUGUAAAUGUUUGUGUCCCAGGUCUUUCUGGUACUGCUGUCCAAAAUUGUUCUCAUGGUAUAAAUCUGUCAUUUAUGGAGGGAAACUGAACAAAAGGCUUCGCAUCAGUAAGGAAGAAAAAGGCAGUCGACUUGUAGAUGGAAUCCAAUUAUAAAUAGAAGAGACCCUAAGGAAUCUGCUAAAAUUUAGCACUGAAUAGUGAGUUAUACAAGACCAAUGAAUAUAAGAUCUGUCAGCAGAAAUGAAGCAGUUCUGUAGCCUAUCAGUAAACAGCACAAAAUUAAGGUAAAAUUUCUAUGUCAUACAGCAUGUUUAAAAAAAUCAAAAGUAUUUUCAAAUUACUUUGACCAAACACAUACUAAACUUUUAACUAUAGCUUCUAUUAUUUUUGAAAUCUAGAAAAUAAUAAACUUCAUCAACAUAUUACAGAGAUUUUCAUAAUCAAGUGAACACAUUUAGAAAUUGACAGUGUAUAACUCAGAGGUUUUCAAACUCACACCAUGGGCUCUCUUUACCAAUCAGAGUUUAGAAGUGCAGAUAAUGCUGUCUCACAUUACUCUGUGAGAAGAUUUAGAGAGUUAAUUCCCUAACAGCAGGGUCCGCAUCCCAAUGUGGAGACAGAAUUCCCUUCAAGAGGGUCUAAAUCACCUGCAGGUAUGAGUAGCCCCCUCAAAGGAAGGACUGAAUCUCCUGCAGGCGAGAAUGACAAAAAUGAGAGGAUCCAUAGGAGGAGGGACUUAAUUUCUUCUCUGAUGAGACUGGAGCACCAGCAGGAAUUUGACUCUGUAGUCUGAGAGAUUAUUUUCAUCAUGAUGUUCUGAGUUCCCUGAAUCCACAGCUGGAACACUGAGCCACCACCAGGAACACUGAACCUGGACCAGUUGUCUUAAGGGCAUUAAAUACGAAUUUCACUUCUUUGGCUAUUAAAAUCCCACCAUGCUCUAGCUUCCUUCCAACAUCCACCACCCUUCAUUCCCCACCAUCUCAGCUUCUCAAUGAAUCCUUCCUCUCCUUGAUUUUCCAAGCCUACCUACGUCUUAUGAGCACCUACACACACACACACACACACACACCUGGCUUUGAAGGGAUCAGAUUUUUAUUUUUAAGGCUGAACUGUUUCUAUGGCUUUCUCUGUAAACUCUGCUUCCCAGCUACUUUCCAUGGCACCUUCCUGACCAAAAGAUAAAAGAGUCUCGAGUGUACAGCUUGCAUCCCUGGUAGUCCUCAGGUCUGGAGCUGAUGGGCUCAGAGCCAUGGGGUGUGUGUGUGUAGCCGGCCAGGCCUUGCUGAGGCUGACUUGUCUUGCCUCUGCAAUAUGUGAAGGAGUCUUCACAACCUGACAGUUGACUUUCUCCUUGCUGAGACUGUUUCUACCAUUUCUUGCACUCUGUUCAAUCAUGGUAUUUCAUGUGGGCAUGUACAUGCUGUGUUGGUCCAUUCUUCUUUUGGAUCCUGGGUUGCAGGUUAAAGAAAAAAAAGGUAGUUGAACUGGAAACAGAAAAUGCUAUUCUGACCCUGAGAUCCGCAUAGGUAAUCUUUGUCCUGUAGACUGAUUGACUGAUGAGACACAUGUGAGUGUUAGCUUUGCGGAGACUACUGUAGUUGUAAAAGAUGGAAAGGACUGCGGCUUUCCUUUGACGGCUGGUCCCCUCCAUUGAGAUUGCCACUUAGUGUGUCAUCCAGUAGUGGAACAGAAAUUAAUCCUAAAUCUUUCUUCCUCGAGCUCAGAAGUAUUUAAGGAAUAAUGCUUUAAUGAUACAUCCAACAGCUGGUCCUGGACAGCUGUGUUGUACUGUUUAUGCACCAUGAUUCACCCACAUUAAUUUUAAUUGAUGUAUAGAUAUAGUAGUCACCUCCAACCCCCAAAUACUUGGUCUCAAUAAGUGCAAACCCAGGUCAUCAGAUAUGGUUUCUCAGACACCCCACAGCACGCCGCACUCCGAGUGGGAUGCUGCACAGUUCAGAUGCAGACAUUUCCAGUGUGGCUGGGUGUUCAGUGUGCCCUUCAUCUCCUCACAGGCUCUUCUGACACAACCUCCACUGAAACUCCAGUUGUUUCCUUUCCUUGGACUUUUGUUUUGAAGUAUAGUGCUCUUUUUUCAGGUCCUGAUUCUAGAAGGCAUUGAAUCCCCUGCAGACACACAGUCUGUCUUGUCUUAAACUGGUACGUGUGUGUGUGUGUGUGUGUGUGUGUGUGUGUGUGUGUGUGUGUGUGUGUGUGUGAGUGUGUGUGUGUGUAUGUGUGUGGAGUUGUAGUAGUAGUAGUAGUAGUAGUAGUAGUAGUAGUAGUAGUAGUAGUAAAUGAAGUUCCACAGACCAAGACAACAACUCAGGAUACAGAACCCCCUGCAAGAGAUCCUCAGCUGAAAACAUGGAAUUCAGGAGGGACUGAAGACAGCUGACGUGCAACAUGAUGCUAAUCUUACUAAGAUCGUCAACUUUUCACCCAAUACCUGUGAAGCUAGAGUAGCUCAGAACACACUGAGAAGUGUAGAGAGAAAGAAUUCCAUGCCUAUUUUCCUCUGCCUAUGAGAAAUAGGUUUCAGGACCGUAAAUAGUUUUUGAGGGUAAGUUUCUCUUUUAUAAACAUCAGUCUUUUUCUCUUAUAUACUACUUUAAAAUUAUUUAUUUUUAUUUCACUUGCUUUUGUGUUUUACCUGGAUGUGCAUCUGUGUGUGGCUGUCAGAUAUCCUAGGAAGUUUGUUGUGUAUGGGCAAUUCCAUGUAAAACAGAACAAAGAGGAAAUGCAACAUCAACAGUAGCAAUCAGGUCUCUCUCCUUAGGCCCCUGUGGAUGUAGCUGCCCUUGGGACUGACAGAGUCUUCUUUGUUAAUGCAUGCCAUACACUGAGCUACAGCUGUGAUGGCUCCUAUCCUAUGGCUACCACAGCACCUGAAUCUUGCCCUAUCUCCAGGAUACCUGCAUCCAGCCUUGUCUCCAGGCAAACAUGCUGAGGAAGAAACAUUAGCCACAUGUAAACAAUGUGGGAUUUGUAAGUACACAAAGAAUAUAUUUUCCCUAUCAAAUAUGCAUUAUAAAAGGAGGAUAACAUGAAGGAGAGAGAUGCUAUAGACUAGGACUCCAGUUACACAGUGGUUUCCAUAUGGAUUUGUCAGACAUGACUAGGAAGGGUGUUGGGAAUCUGUGCAGACUUAGACAAACACAAAUGCUUUUCUGUAAUGGGAUCCAAGAGGAAAACAGGAUCAGAUGAAAGCUCCUUACCCAAGGAUGACCUCUCUUCAGUGAGAAGGCCAGAGUUAUGUGUGGCUUCCAUUUCAAGAUCUCGGGUGGAAUGUGUGAGUCAGGUGUCCUUGUGCCUGCUGUUCUCCAGUGCUUUUAACAAGAAGGCUUCCUCCUUCAAAAUGGCAAGCUUGAGUGUGGCAAGGUCUCUCCCUUCUGUGGUUGGAUUAUGGUUGUCCAACAAGGGUGUACAUGAGUAUAUUUACACUGUGUGUAUUAUGUAGGGCCCAUAAAACCCGAAGAGGGUAAGAUAUUCUAGAUCUUGAGUUGCACAUGACUGUGAGCUGACUUGGAAGUGUUGAAAAUAAGUGAAGGUCCUCUGCAAAGGCAGCCAGUGCUCUCAAACCCUGAACGAUCUCUCUAGUUCCUGCUCUGAAGGUUUUCUGAUGUCCUGUUGAUUACUGUCUGCUCCACCAGCCUGUUCCACAGGAAUCAGUCUUAUGAUUGUGUAGCAUCACAACACCAAAAAUAGUUUAAUCUCUGACUGGAUGCCUUUAAUGAUUUUACAAAUGAUAAAAAUUGACUAUAUUUGUUUUUGAAUAUUAACAGUGCCUCUGGAACUAAACUCAGAUCAUCAGCUAUUCCUUUCACCUCUGAACAAUCUCAAAAGCUCACACUGUAUAUUCUGUUCUGUCCUCAGUGUACCAUGUAUUUCUGUAAUCACCAGCAUUGUUAAAGCAAGCCAAAUGAGAUUUCUAAAAUCUUCAGAUUUUGAAAUUUACAUUCACACAUAGCUUGUGCUACACAUCAUUAAUCCCCCCUUUCAGGAGAGAGCAGGUCUCGUUACUUCAAAACCACCCUUGUGUACAGGGUGAGUUUUAGGACACCUUCAGUUUGUGGUGACACUCUGUCUCAAAUUAACCACACAACAACAACAACCCAACCACACUCACACAGAAACACAUGCAUGGAACACACUCACACACACACACACACACACACACACACACACACACACACACACAGAGCACUGUCCAAUUGCUACCGUACUCAUUCCUAAAGUGAACUUUCAGUGUAACUGUACUUUAACCUCAACUUCCUCAGUCCUUCCAGUCUGCAGGCUUCUCUUAAACCCUGAGGAAUUGGCAACUGACAUCAGACCGGUUUCUACUUCCUGGUGGGGUAAUUGGUUUGUGUUGUUUUGUUAUUUUGUACUCCCUUAGCAGACCUCCCUAGGCUCUGAGAAGAUUCCAUUCACUUCCUUCAGAGGACUUUAGUGUUUUUAAGUCAUACUCAACAAAGUAAGAAACCAUUUGUUCUGACUGCAGCAUUUAGGAUCAUGUUGAAUAGGUACCAGCAGAAUGUACGCUGUUUAAGAAGUAGGUCUGUGGGUUAGGACUAGGUGUAAUUUCAUCUGCUGAGUGAAUGAGUGUUUGCUUCAUGUCCUUGCCCCUUUUGCCUUCUGUGGUAUUUUUAUUCCUGAAGACUAAAGGGUUUGAGUUUGGGUUGGAUCCUUCUGUGAUUUCAGUGUCCAAUACCUCUAGACCUAUACUGUAAGUGUGACCAGAUUAACAGGGCUGUUGAUUUUCCAUGGAGAUGCUUGUUUACAUUUUUACUUAAUCCACAUCUUAUGUGAAAGUGGAGGGAGUGCAGCUUGCUGGCUCUGCAGCAACACACCAAGACCCAGAGUUAAGGUUCUCUCUGUUACUGAUUCGAAUUCCUGAAUCACCAUGACAUUUUGCAUGAGCUAUCCUCCACUGUCUCGGGCAUUUGAGUACUCCUUUCCCAGUUGGUGACUCUGUUUGGGAAGAUUCAGGAGGUGUGCCCUUGCUGGAGAAAGAAUGUCAGCGGGGCUGGGCUUUGAGGUUUUAGUGCUUUUGCACCACUCCCAAUGCACCAUCUGCUUUGUACUUGUGAUUCUAGUGUCAUACCUCAGCCUCCUCCUCCUUCCACCAUGCCCUGUAGUCAUGGAACUUAACCUCUGCUAACACACGUUCUCUGAAAUAGAAUCACUAAUGUCCUACUUGUUUUAUAGUUUGCUGUGCUCAUGGCAUUUCUGUCACAGAAAUGCAAAUGUAACUAAUGCAGAAGGUGACUUAAUGGAGUGGACUCUUGCUGUGUGACACCUGACGAUGCCAGGUUGUACUUGUUUCUUGUUUUGGGAAAUGUGUAAGAAUUCCAGUGCUCUAAGAUGAGUUUAAUGGGCUACACUGGCAAGAACUUGGGAGUCAGGAGUGCCAAGAGCUAUUCAGACUGUGGAAGCCCAGGAGAAGGGGAUUCAGAAGGAAAAAAAAUGUUUGUAACUGGUCUAGGAUAAUUCCUAUGAGGCUUUUACAAAAAUGUGGCUUCCUUUCUGCCCACAUCCUAAAAACUUACUUGAGGCUAAAUUCAAAAGUAAUAAACAAAUUUCUUUGAUGAAAAUUUGAAGAGAGCCCAGUAUGGCCUCUGUCAUACUGUGCUUAUACUCUUCAAUGAAAAAUAGCAAAUGGGGCAAAAAGAAAUACAAAAUGUACAGUUUACAGAGAAAAAGACACUGGGAAGACUAAUAUUAUAGCCAAUGCCUAUACCAGAAGAGAGCCUGAAAUUGCUUGGAGAUUAGCAUCUUAAUAAGAGGCCAUGUCUCCUCAGGUGAAGACAUCACUCAACUAACUUAGUAAUCUGUGGUAGAAAAUGACUUACUUAGAGUUUUCCUGCUAUUAACAGACACCAUGACCAAAGCAACUCUUAUAAGAAGAACAUUUAUUUGGGUUUGGCUUACAAGUUCAGAAGUUUGGCUCAUUAUCAUCAAGGUAGGGGCAUGGCAGCAUCUAGGCAGACAUGUUGCAGGAGGAGCUGGGAGUUCUACAUCUUCAACUGAAGGCUGCUACUAGAAAACUGAUUUUCAUGCAGCUAGGACAAGGAACAUAAGGGUCACAUCUACAGUGACACACUUCCUCAAUCAAGGCUACACCUAUCCAAUGAGGGCUCAUCUGCAAAUAGUCCCACUCCCUGGGCUCAGCAUAUUCAAAUCAACACAUGAACAUUAGGUAUUUUCAGUUCCUGAUAUAACUUUUGAUCACAAACUGCUGCUGCUAUGGUUCAUGGGGUCCAGGUCUUCUAGAAAUCAAGCAUCUUCUCAUGUACUCUAAUCAGUCACUGGAAGUAAGGAAGCUCAAGAAAGGACUGCUGUGUGGUCUGAGACAGCUGAGAAAGUCUGCUUGAGAAGGUGUGUCAAUUUUCUUCUCUACAUGGAGAUAGUAUGGAGGUUACCUGACCUUAUCUGGCCAGUUUUCAUGUUUGGAACCCCUGGACCCUAUUCAUUGUCAGGUAGGAAAGUGUCAUUUGGCACUCAAUGACAACUUGUGCCUAUCGUGUACCCAAUGUUGAUAGAUGACUUAAGAAUGUAGGUUUGAAAGGUGUCCAGUUCUAUCUGGGAAGGAGAACAGCAGGCCUGAGAGGAACAGGCUUCAUGUGCAGAGGGAGGUAUCAUCUGUACGUGGGUGGGAGAAGUUUAGAGACGGUUAGUCAAACCUGUGUAUCCAGGAGAGCUCAGUUAACUGUGGAAACAAUAAGAGUAAAGGUAACUUUGAACUUGGAGGAAGAGAAGAUUUGUUGCAACUGUUUGUGGACUGUGCUUCAGAGAUGAUGAGACAUAGAGAAGCUCUGUCUUGGGUUCAUGGCACUAAGCAUGCUAGCUGAGUACUUCACAUCUUAAGUUGUGUAUGAUUUUAGGGGUCUUACACAGAGGUUAUCACCUUAUCUACCAAGAGCAUCUUGCUUUACUUCUAGCAGUCACAUGAAUUUAAAUUUCCUACUUGUUUGUGUUCUUAAAAACUCACUGAUUAGUUUUAGCUGAGCCUCCUGGGAGACUUUGCUCUUAAGUGCUGUAAGUUUUACAUAUUUGGUGAUUAACAUAAAUAACUAUACAUAGGUCAAUACAGGGCCCACACUGACAUCACCUUGCUAUCUGGAGCUGUUAGCUCCUAGGCCAAGGUUCUCAAAUGUCUCUGCCUCAGAAAGAAAUGUGGUAGUUUGAUUUCAUAAUCUACUCACAUUCCUUUUGUCACCCAGGAUAUCUGCUAGAAUGAGAGGAUUCUGUCCCAUGCAGGACAAUCUAGAUACUGCUCCCCCAGCAGGAAUGAAAGGGCCACUUCCUGUCUCUGAGGGGCAGUCCCUGGUGUUCACUGUAAUGUCACCCAACAGUCCCACCUUGAAUCUGCUGUUCCACUUGAGCCUGGAGCCUCCCUUUUAUUCUGGGAGAUAAACAGGUAUCUCCAGCUAGGCAGAGUGGUUCAAACAUGAGAUUUCGUGAGGGCAGUGAGAGUGGUGUAUACACAUUGAGGGUUUCAGAUUGAAUGAUACUGAACUUAAUGUACUUCCUAUUAGAGUCAUCUGUGAGUGACAUGUGAGCUUUGUAUUAAAAUUUACUUUUACGUCCAAGAUUUCAUGGUAUGUCAAUGCCCUACUUGCUUUUGAAGAUGUCCAAGGAACUGGAUAUAAAAGAGAAAAUACAAAUCAGAAAAUGUUCCUAGGUGUACAGCACUUGUUUAGAUGUGCAAGUCCCAGUGCUCAACUCCAAGAGCACACAUUAUGCCUUAGAAAUAGAUGAUAAGUGCUCUCUCUCUCUCUCUCUCUCUCUCUCUCUCUCUCUCUCUCUCUCUCUUUCUCUCAUGAGUGUGUGUGUGUGUGUGUGUGUGUGUGUGUGUGUGUGUGCUUGUAUAUGUAUGUGAGAACCUGAAGGUGAGCCCAGGGUCUGCAUGGUCCAGUUGGUACAAGGAUCCCACAUUGUUUGACUCUCAUGUAGACAAGUAUAAUGUUGUUGGGGUGACCAGCAUAUAAACAUUGGGACACGAGAGAACUAUUUACAAAGCCAACAGUUUUGACUGAUUUAUGUGAAUUAGGGCAGAUUUGAGAGCACACUUAAGAGAUUUAAACUGUGUUUGAGAAAAUUAUAUAUAUAUAUAUAUAUAUAUAUAUAUGUAUACACACACACACACAUCAUAUCCCUGUACACCCCUUGGUUGGUGGUCUAUUUACUGGAAGCACUGGGUGGUCCAGCCAGCAUAUGUUGUUCUUCCUAUAUCGCAAGACCUCCUCUGUCACAGGACAUCCACUGUUUAAGCACCACCACUACCUCAGGAAGUCCACUGUCUGUGUGUCAACUCCACUGUUACAGGACUUCAAGUGUCUCAGUAUCUCAACUAUCACAGGACUUCUACUGUGCCGGAGCUCAAGUGUCUUACAACGUCCAAUGUCAUAAGAUCAUCAAUGUCACAAGAACUCCAUUGUCUGAGGAACUGCACUGUCCAAACAACACUAUGAUUGCAGGACAUCCACUGUGGAAACACCUCUACUAUAGUAGGGCCUCCACUAUCCAUAUAUCAACUCGACUGUCACAGAUCACCAAUUGCUGCAGGACCUCCACUGUCACAGGACCUCCACUGUAGGAGCACUACAACUGUCGCAGGAUCUCCAGUGUCUUAUAACCUGCUCUAUCCCAGGACUUCCACUGUUGUAGCACCACCAUGGUCACAGCAACUACACUGUUUCAGGACAUCAACUGAAGCAGGACCUCCAAUGAUGCUCCAACUUCUCUGUCAUGUGAUCUCUACAGUUACAGGAAUACUCCUGUAUCAUCAAUUCCAAUAGCUGGACCUCAGUUGUCACAGGACCUCCACUGUAGCCGAACCUUCAAUUUUGCAGCACCUCCACUGUAGGUAGAAUGACCUCCCCUAUCGCAGUGCCUCCACUUUCAAAGGACCUUCACUGUCACAGAACCUGCACAAUUUCAGUGCCUCUGCUGUUGCAGGACCUACCUCUUCACAGGAUCUGCACUGUUGCAGCAACUCUAAUUGCACUUUUACAAAGGCAUUACUGGUUAUUAGAUUUGAGGCUCAAUGGAAUGUGAUGUUACUUUCGUAAACAUAAGAAUUUGUUCUGUGCCUCUUGUGAUUAAUGCCACAUGUGCUAGGACCAGUAACUUAUGGAAAGAUUCCAUGAGGUCAUAGCACUCUCCACCUCACCUUGUGGAAACUGGUGUUUUCAGAGGAUGAUAAACUUCAGGUGAAGGGAUGCAGUCAGCAAGACCACGCUCUAGAGUGGGGUACACAGCAGUCAUAUUGAGUCCCUGCUGGGAAGAAAUCCAGAAGAGGGAGAAGGCUUGGGUUAGAGGAAGAAUCGUAAAAUAUUUAGAGAAUAUAAGAAGGUAAGAAUUAUGGGGAACUGGAAAACAGAGCCAGAGGAAGAAUGAGCACAGAGCAAACUGGGAUGGACAAAGCACAAAUGUACCUGGGUUGUGCCUUCUGCAUGUUCUCUGGACGAUCGCCUUGUGCCUCAUUUCUGGGAGAACACUCUCUUCUCCCCAUAUAAAGUUUGUUUCUUGAAAGAAAGCAGCAACACAACUUCAUUAGUGAAUUCCCUAUUGAAAUUUGUUCGUUCCUUCAAAGCCUCUGGGAAGGCCCUAGCUGGGGAAAGUCCUCUCUGCUGAGAAACAGCAGGAAAGUAGGUUGUCCUCUGUGUUCUCAUUGCUACUGCUCUUCUAAGUGUGGUUGAUUGUUGAUUGAAGACACAGGGCACUUCCAGCAUGUAUGUAUGCUUUAUUCAGUGUGGGUGGCAUUGGCUGUAUCCUGAAAAGAAGGGCAGACCCUUCUGCCUCCUCUUUGACUAGGCUUAAGAUCAUAGUCAGACACUUAACCAUUGGAAGAUGAGACCAAUGUGUCUACAGUGUACUCACUUCUAUUCCUCUUUAGUCCUAGAGGGAAAUCAGUGCCAUCAGCAAGGGUGGGGAAUGGGGCCCUAACUGGACAAACUUGCUGAGCCUGGGUUAUGCAGCCAUGCCGGUGAAUAGCUUCCCCUUACAUUAAGUAAUAAGAUGCCAUGCUCUGGUUGUACCUUCCCUGAUACAGUGAAUCUAUAAUCUCUUGGCCUCAAAACCCAAUAUAUUACAUUGCUUUCACAAGUGGAGUGUCUGGCAUGAGAGGGAUCAUUUCCUCAUAGGGAUUUGGGAACCACUUACAGUCUUCAUUGAGCAUGGGUGUGUCAUCACCUAUGUGACUGUUAGCCCAUAUCUGUGAUUCACUGUCAUUAGGAGGCUAAGCUGCCUCUUCUGACACCCCACAGUGGGCCGGAUACACACCACUCACAACCUGUCUCCUCAGCUCUUGUAUGACAAAAUGUAACCCUACUCCUAAGUCCAUAUGUUGGGUUUAUUUUGUUUUUGGAACAUCCUAACGUUUUCCUAGGAAGAGAUCAGGUGCACCAUUAGGAUAAGCACCAUGCUGCCAGUUCAGCAUUUGCCCAAAUUUGACUUGCCUUGAAGGCCAAAGUUGAUGAUUUUGACUUUUCCAUUCUUCUCUAACAGAAUAUAAUCUGGUUUCAGGUCACUGUGUACUUUUACAGUGCCCAUAGCCGUAGAUUAAGCCUGCUAAUAUUUACCCAAAUAUUUCCUUGACCCUGUACUCCUCUAAGGGGAAAGACUUUCAAAUGUAUUUGUAAAGCUGUAAAAUUUCAACCAGUUUCAUGAUAAGUUAUUAGACUUGUCUCAGACUCAAUUGGAGAAGCAAGAUGAUGUUGGGGUGGAUGAAAAUCUUCAUUAUAUUUGCCAUGGUCAUGUUUGGCUGGCACCAUUGCUUCUUCUUUGCAUGCACUUUGAUAACCCCUGUAGCAGAACUUCCACUGUCCCAACACCUGCACUAUCCCAAGACCUCCACAGUCAAAGGACCAAUAUUGUGGUAGGGUGUCUGUGGUCAGGCAACUUCACUGUCUCAGACCCUCCAAAUUGCAAGACCUUUACAGGCACUGGAAGUUACUGUCCCUAAACUUCCACUGUUGGAGUACCUCAACUGUAACAAGGACCUCUAUCAUUGCAGAACCCCCUUGUCAUAGCACCUCUACAAUUAAAAGAAGUCCACUGUCAAAUGACCUCCAGUGUCUCAGCCCCUCCACUGUUGCAGGAUCUCUACUGUCUCAGGAUCACUACUGUUGCAGGACCUCCCCUCUCUCAGCAGCUCCAAUUUGCAGGAGCUCUCCUAUCAGAGGACAUUUACAUUUUCUGUACUUCCAGUGUCACAGCACCUCAACUGUUAAAAGAAUUUCCAUACUCACAGGACCGCCAAUGUCUCAGUAACUCCACUGUCCUAGGACCUUUAUGUUAUAGGACCUCUGCUGACACAAGAUGUCCACUGUUGCUAGACUUCCACUGUCAUAACCACUCAACCAUUACAAGGACUGCAAUUUUGGCAUGACCUCCACUGUCCCAUCCCCUCCAGUGUCAUAGGACCUCCACUCUCACAGGAUAAUCCACUGUCUCAGCAAGGCCAAUUUUCAGGACCUCUACUAGGACAGGAUAUCCAUGGUAGCUGGACGUACACUGUUGAAGUACCUCAACUGUUGCAGGACCCACAGCGUUGCAGGACAUGGACCCUCUCAGCUUCUAGAAUUUGCAGGACCUCUACUGGCACAGAAAUCCCACUGUUGCUGGAGAUCCACUGUCAUUGAAAAUGCAUUGUCUCAUGAUAUUCACUGUUGCUGGACCAAUAGUGUGGCAGCACCUCCAUUUUAUCCAAACCCCUCCACUGAUGCAGGAUCUCCACUUUUGUCGUACCUUCACUGUCCAAGCAAACCAACUAUUUCAGGAUCUCCAGUGUCUCAGGGCAUUCACUAAUGCCCGUCCUCCAACGUUGUAGGAUAUCCACUUUCUCAACAGCUACACUUUGGCAGGACCUCUAUUGGCAGAGAAAGUCCACUGUUGCUGGACCUCCACUGUCAGUGCAAAUGCACUCAUUCAGGACCUCUACUUUUCUAAGGACCUCUAAUAUUGCAGGACCUCUAAUGUCCCAGGACCUCAAGUGAUGCAGCACCUCCUUUGUCCCAUCACCUUUACUGUCCCAGAACCUCCACUUUCCCAAGACCUAUUCUGUUGCAGGGCCUCCAAAGUUGGAAGAACUGCACUGUAUCAAGACCUCAACUAUUGCAGGACCUCCAUCAUUUUAGGAACACAAAAGUUACACUGUCCAUAACCUUCAUUCUCCUAGCACCUCCACUCUCACAGGACCUACACUGUUGGCAGGAACUCCAAUGUCUAUGCAACUGCACUGUCUCAGGACCUCAAUGUUCCAGAACCUCCAAUGGUGCAGGACCUCCACUGUCAUGGACCUCCACUGUCUCAGGACAUCCACUCUAUCACCACCUAGACUUUUGCAGGACCUCUACUGGCCCAGGAUCUCCAUUGUUGCUGGUCUUACAUUGUCUAUAGACCUCUACUAUCACAGAAAUGCCACUGUUGUAGAACCUUCACUGUCACAGGGCCUCCACUGUCCAAGACCUCCACUGUUGCAGAACAUCCACUCUUGCAGCAUGUGCAUUGUCUCCUGACCUCCACUACAGCAGUCAAAUCUCCACUGUAUCGUGACUUCCACUCGUGCAGGUCUUCCAAUGUUGCAUGACCUCCAAUGUGAAAGUAACUCCACUAUCUCAGUGCCUCCACUGUUACAGGACCUACACUGUCAGAGGAUCUGCACUGCUGCACCAGCUCCACUGUCACAUUUUUGAAAGCAUUGCUUGUUGUUAGUGUUGAGGCUUCAUGAAAUGUGAUGCUACCUCUGAAAAGUUAAGAAUUUUUUCUUCAGCUCUUGUGAUUAAUGUCCAGAUGUGCUAGAUCAGUAGCGCAUAGAAAACUCAAUGAGCCGAUAGCCUUCGAAGCCUCACCUUGUGGGUUCUGUUGUCUUUUGGGAGUGCUAAAGUCCAGGUGAAGGCAUGUGGUCAGAAGGAUAACUCUAGUGUGGGGUACACAUCAGUUGUGUUGAGUUCCUGCUGGGAAGGGUAGAAAUCCAGAACUGAAAGAAGGCUUAUGGUGGAGUAAGAAUCAUACAAUGCUAGAAUAGGUGAAACAGAAACAAUUUUGCAGAAAUGGAAACCAGAGACACAGGAGGAACCAGCACAGAACAAACUGGGUAGGACAAAGCACAAAGGUACCUGCGCUGAGCCUGCCUGCUGCUUGUUCUUUGGAUGUACUCUAGCCUUUAUUUCUCAGGAGAGACACUGUGCUGUCCCAGGAGAGUUUUCUUGCUUGAUGGAGCACAGGAAUACUGCUUGAUUUGGAUAUUCCUAAUUUCUUGGUCCACCCUGUAAAUCAUCUGAGCAUGCUCCUGCUUGGGACAGUCUUGCCCUCUCCUGAGGCCCAGAGGGAUAAUAGGAUGUCUUCUGUGGUUUCAUUGCUGCUUUCGUUCUCCCUGAGGCUGCUUGUUGACUGAAGGCAGAAGACACCCUGCCAUGUAUGUUUUGUCCAGUGUGCUGUCACCUGGAGUGGCCUGAAGAAAAGGCCAGUCCCAGUGGUUCUUCUGAAUCUUCUAUGACUAGAGUUAUGGACAUAGGCAUAAAAGAGGCCAUGGGGAAUGACAAGUUCAAUGUGCCAAUGGUGGGUUGGUUUCCACUCCUCUGAAGUCCUAGAGGGAAAGCAGCAUAAUCUUUAAGGGUAGGGAAUGGAGCCCUAACUGGACUCAAUGAGGGAGCCUGGUUAUGAAGCCAGCACCUGGAUAGCCUGCCCUUUCAGUAAGCCAUUGGACGCCAUUAUCCGUUAAUAAUUUUUUUUGAUUUAAAGAAUCUUUAUUUCUUGGGCUUAGAACUGAAUAUAUUACAUCACUUCCACAAUUCUAGGGUGUGGCCUGAGGUAUCAUUUCCUCAUAGGGAUUUGGGAAACCCUCCCAUUAUUUGAAGCAAGGUUGCAUUAUGAGGUUUGUGACUGUCAGCCUAUAUCUGGGGUUUACUGUGAUUAAGAGAUAAUGAUGAUGGUUGACCAUCAUAAACGUUGACAAAGAGGAGUUCAGGGGCAACAGAAGUGUAAGCACCACAGUGGUGCUUCAGCAUUUGCCCUGGUUCAACUCGGGUACUAAGGCGAAAUUCGAUUAUUUUGUUUUUUUCCAUUAAUAUCCAAGAUAAAUACUAUUUGGCUUCAGGUCCCUGUGAAAUAUUGUGUGCCCAGGGCAGUAGUUCAUCACUGCUAAUAUUUGCAAUAUAUUUUACUGACUUGUCCUGCUUUAGGUAGCCAUACUUUUGGAUGUAUUUGUAAAACUGUUGAGCUUCAACAAGCUCCAAGACAAGAUAUAAUAUUGUUUUGGUCUCAAUUAUUUGAAGAAGCCACGUGAUGUUGGGGUUGUCACCCAUCAUCAUCACUGCCAUGGUCAUUACUGGCUGGCAUUAUUAUUUCUCCAUUACAAGGACUUUGACAGCCACUGUCACAGGACCUAAUCUGUGGUAGAACCUCCACUCUCAGGCAACUCCACUUUCUCAGGACCUCCAAAUUGCAGGACCUCCCCUGGCAUAGAAUGUACAUUUUUGCAGGACUUUCACUCUUGUAGCAACUCAACUCUUAAAAGACAUCCACUUUAGCAAGAUUUCCAGUGUCUUAGCACCUCCCUUCUUGAAGGACCCCCACUAUUGUAGGACCUCCACUGUUGCAGCACAUCCAUUCUCUCAGCAUCUAGAAUUUUGCAGAAUGUCAACUGGCAUAGAAAGUCCACAGUUGCUGGUUCUUCAAUGUCAUGAUAAAUCCACCGUAUCAGGACCUUCACUGUUGCAGGACCUCCAGUGUUGAAGCACAUACACUGUUUCAGGGCCACCACUAUCACAGGACCUUCUCUGUCACAGGAUCGCCACUCUCUCAGCACUUAUGCAGUCACAGGACCUUCAUUGAUUUGGACCUCCACUCUUGGAGAACCUCCACUGGUCAAGCACAUCCACUAUCUCAGAAACUCCAGUGUCUCGGGACAUUCACUGUUGCAGGAUCUCCCAUGUCUUAGCACACUUAUUUUUGCAGGACCUCCACUCUCGCAGACUCAUCUCUACUGUCUCAGGACCUACACUAUAACUGUUGGACCUCUAAUGUCACAGGACCUCAAAUGACACUGGAUCUCCACUGUCCAAUCACCUUAACUGUCCCAACUCCUUCACUGUCGCAGGACCUACACUGUUGCAGGACCUCCAAUAUCGGACCAAUUUCCUGUCUCAGGGACCUCCAAUGUUGCAUGACCUCCACUGUUAAAAGAUAUCCACAGUUGCAGGAUAGCUAGUAGAGUUUUGCAGGACCUGUAGUGGCCCAGGACCUCCAUUGCUGAUGGUCCUCCACUGUCUCAGUACCUUAACUAACACAGGACCUCCACUGUUGAAGCACCUCCACUGUCCUAGGAUGUCCACUAUUGCAGACAACCUCAGUCUUAAGUACCUCCAUUUUUGAAGGACCUCCAUGGUGCAGGACCCCCACUCUUAGAGUGCCUCCAUUGUUGUAGCACCUCCACUGUCCCAGCCUCAUCUCCACUGUCUCAGGACCCAUAUUAUUGCAGGAUCUCCAAUGUUGCUGGACUUCUACUGUUGCAGUACCUCCACUGUUGCAGGACCUACACCGUAGCAGGAUCUGCACUGUUGCACCAAUUCUACUUUCACAUUUUGUUGACAUUGCUGGUUAUUAGAUUUGAGUCUUAAUGGAAUGGGAUAUUACUUUUGAAAACACAGGAAUUUUUUCUGCAUCACAUGUGAUUGAUGACCACAUAUUCUAGGACUGAUAUCCCCUGGAAGAUUCCAUGAGCCCUUAGUCCACCAGUCUUCACCUGGUCAGAGGUGUUGUGUUUUGGGAGAAGUUGAAUCCAGGUUAAGGGAUGGGAUCAGCAGGACACAGUUCUGUAGAGUGGGCUACAUAUCAGUCAUAGUGAGUCCCCUCUGGGAUGAGUAGAAAUCCAGAACUGAGAAAAUGCUAUUACAGGACCUCCAUUGUCUAAACACCUCCACUAUUUCAGAACCUCCACUGUCCAUACAUCAACCAGCUCCACUGUCCCAGAGCCUGAGAUGUUGAAGAAUCUCCACUGUCACAGGACCUCCAUUGCUGCAGGACCUCCACUGUCACAGGACCUCCAAUGACUCAGCAACUACACUUUUGUAGGACCAGCAUUGGCACAGGAUAUGCACUGUUGGUAAGCCCUCCACUAGCCUAUAACCUCCACUGUCCCAGAACUUCCACUGUUGUAGCACUACCAGGGUCAAAGCAACUACAGUGUUUCAGGACAUCAACUGAAGCAGGACCUCUAAUGAUGCUGCACCUUCACUGUCACAGGAUCUCUACAUUUACAGGAAUACCACUGUGUCAGCAAUUACAAUUUUGCAGGACCUCAGUUGUCACAGGACCACCGCUGUAGCCAAAUCUUCAAUUGUGCAGCAUCUCCACUGUAGGUAGAAUGACCUCCCCUAUCGCAGUGCCUCCACUUUCAAAGGACCUUCACUGUCACAGAACCUGCACUAUUUCAGUGCCUCCACUGUUACAGGACCUACCUCUUCACAGGAUCUGCACUAUUGCAGCAACUCUAAUUACACUUUUUCAAAGGCAUUACCAGUUAUUAGAUUUGAGGAUGAAUGGAAUGUAAUGUUACUUUUGAAAACAUAAGAAUUUGUCCUGUAUCAUUUGUGAUUAAUGGCCACAUGUGCUAGGACCAGUAACCUAUGGAAGAUUCCCUGAUCUGAUAGCUCUGUAGCCCUCAUCUUGUUGAAGCUGUUGUGCUUAGAGGGUCAUACAGUUCAGGUGAAGGGAUUGGAUCAGCAAGACAACUCUGUGGAGUGGAGUACAAUUAAGUCGUAUUGAGUCCCAGCUGGGAAAAGGAGAAAUCCACAAGGCGGAGAAAGCUUGUGGUGGAGGAAGAAUCGUGAAGUACUUAGAGAGUAUAAGAAGGUAAGAAUUGUGGGGAAAUGGAAAACAGAGCCAAAGGAAGAAUGACCACAAAGCAAAGUGGGAGGGGUAAAGCACAAAGGUACCUCGGUUGUGCCUUCUGCUUGUUCUCGGGGUGCUCUCGCCAUGCCUCAUUUCUGAGAGAACACUGUUCUGCCUCAUGUAAGGUUUCUUUCUUGAUGUAAAGCAGAAACACAACUUGAGGGAUUCUCUCAUCUUCUUGGUCCAUCCUUUAAGUCCUCUGGGAAGGCCCCAGCUGGGGAAAGGCCUGCUCUCAGCUGACAAACACCUGGAGAAUAGGUUGUCCUUUAUGUUCUAAUUGGUGCUGCUCUUGUAAGUGUGUCUGCUUGCUGAGUAAAUGCAGGGGAAACCUCUGUCAUGUAUAUAUGCUUUGUCCAGUGUGGCUGUCAUCGGAAGUGUCCUGGAGAGAAGGGCAGUCCAGUGACUCUUCUGCUUCCUUUUGACUAGCCUCAUUAUUAUAGGCAGACAUUAGACCCUUGGAAGAUGAGGAGACCAAUGUGUCUAUGGUGUUCUCACUUCUACUUCUCUUUAGUCCUAGAGGGAAAUCAGUGCCAUCACCAGGGGUAGGGAAUGUUGCCAUAACUGGACAAACUUGCUGACCUUGGGAUCUGCAGCAAUGCCCAUAGAGAGCCUGCCCUUACAGUAAGCAAUGGGAUGCCACGGUCUGGUAAUAUUUUCUUUGAUGUAUCUAUAAUAUCUUAGGCUCGAAGCCCAAAAUAUCCAAUUGCUUCCACAUUAGCAGUGUCUGGCGUGAGGGGGAUCAGUUCCUCCAAGGAUUUGGGAACCACUUCCACUCUUCAUUGACCAGGGGUACAUCACUACUUCUAUGACUAUCAACCCAUAUCUGGGGUUGACUGCCAUUAAGAUGCUACACAGAUCUCCAGCUCUUCGGACAUCCCACAGUGGGCAGGAUACACACCGGCCACAACAUGUCUUCUCACCUUUUUAUAACAACUGAGUCAAAUCCUACAACAGUGAAAUAUAAGCCUACUCCUUAACUCAAAUAUUGUUCUUUGUUCCAUUACAAUGUUUGCCUAGGAUGUAAUAACAGGCAUCAAAAUUGUAAACACCGUAGUGCCAGCUCAUCGUUUUCUCAGGUUCAACUUUGCUAGGAAAGGCCAAAGUUGAUGAUUUUGACUUUUCCGUUCUUGUGUAACAAAAUAUCACUCGAUUUCAAGUCUCUGUGAACUACACCGUGCCCAUCACAGUAUAUCGAGUCUGCUAAUAUUUGCCUAAAUAUUUCCCUGACCUUGUCUUCCUCGAGGUGGCAAGACUUUCAGAUGAAUUUGUAAAGCUAUAGAAUUUCAACCAGCUCCAUGAGAAGGUAUAGAUGUGUCUCAGACUCAAUUACCUGGUGAAGCAAUAUGAUAUUGGUGUGGAUGAAUAUCUUCAUUAUAUUGGCCAUGCUCUUGUCUGACUGGCACCCUUGCUGCUUCUUUGCAUGCACUUUGAUAACCACAGUAGCAGGACUUUCACUGUCCCAGUCACUGCACUAUCCUAAGACCUCCCUUGUCACAGGACCUCCACUGUGGUAGUACCGCAGCUGUCAGGAAACUCCACAGUCUCAUUACCUCCAAACUGCAAGAUCUCUACUGGCACAGGAAUUGUACUGCCCCUGGACUUCCACUGUCACAGCACUUCAACUGUUACAAGGACCUCUACUGUUGUAAGACCUCCUAUAUCACAGCACCUCCACGGUGACAAGGACCUGCAUUGUCAAAAGACCUCCAGUGUCUCAGCCCCUCCACUGACUCAGGACUUUCAAAUUGCAGGAACUCUACUAGCACAGGUCAUCCACAGUUGCAGUUCCUCAACUGUUAUAAGGACCUCCAUUUUUGCAGAACCUUCAGUGUCCCUGCACCUUCACAGUCUCAGCAACGCCAACUUGCAGGACCUCUACUAGCACAGGAUGUCCACAGUAGGUAUACUUACACUGUUGCAUUACCUCAAUUGUUGCAGGACCUCCGAUGUGGUAGGACAUCCACAUUUUCCGCAGCUAGACUUUUGCAGGACCUCUACUGGCCCAAAAAAAUUCCUCUGUUCUGGACCUCCACUGACAGUGCAAAUGCACUGUCUCAGGACCUCCACUGUUGCAAGACCUCCAAUGUUGAAGGAUGUCCAUUGUUUUAGGACAUUCCCUGUCAAAGAACCUCAACUGACACACAACCUCUGCAUUUGUAGGAUUUUCACUGUCCUAGAAAACCAAGUAUUGCAGGAAUUAUAAACUUGGAGCAACUGCAUUGUAUUAGGACAUUUACUCUUGCAGGACCUGCAGUGUGGUUGCACCUCCAUUUUAGCCAGGUCUCAACUGUACCAGGCUCAUCUCUGCUGAAUCAGCUCCUCCAACACUGCAGAACAUCCAAUAUUUCAGGUCCUCAAACAUCCCAGGACCCCAAUUGAUGAAGGACUUCCAAUGUUGCAGGACCACAAUAGUCACAGGUCCUCCACUGUCCCAUCACUUUUAUUUCUCCCAGCACCUCCACUCUCACAUGGCCUACAAUGUUGCCUAACCUCCAAUGCCUGAGCAACUACACUGUCUCAGGACCUCGAUUGUUCCAGAACCUCCAAUGGUGCAGGACCUCCACUGUCACCAGAUCUCCACUGUCUCAGAACAUCCACUCUAUCACCGACUAGACUUUUGUAGAACCUCUCCUGGCAUAGCAUCUCCAUUGUUGCCAGCCUUACAUUGUCUCAAACCCUCCACUAUCACAGGAGUGCCACUGUUGUAGAACCUCCACCGUCACAGACCUCCACUGUUGGAGGACCUCCCCUGUCUAAACACAUCCACUAUUGCAGGACCUCCACUGUCUAAGGAAUUCCGCUGUUCCAGGACAUCCACUCUUGCAGCACCUGCAUUGUCUCUGGACUUCCACUGUACCAGUCCCAUCUCCAAUGUCUCAGGACCUCCACUCUUACAGGACCUCCAAUGUUCACAACCUCAAAUACAAAACUGCACUAUCCCAGUGCCUCCACAGUUGCAGGCCCCAAACUGUCUCAGGAUCUGCACUGUUUCAUUAAUUCCCCUGUCCCUUUUUUGAAAGCAUUGCUGGUUAUUAGUUUUGAGGCUUAAUGGAAUGUGAUGGUAUUUUUGAAAAAAUAACAAUUUUUCCUGCACAUCUUGUGACUAAUUACCAGAUGUGCUAGGAUCAGUUGCCCCUAGAGUUGUGCACGAGCCCACAGCCCUCUAGACCUCGCCUUGUGGCAGCUGUUUUGUUUCGGGGGUGUUACAGUCCAGGUGAAGGCAUGGGGUCAGCAGGACAACUCUGUAGUCCGGGGUACACAUCAGUCACAUUGAGUCCUUGCUGGGAAAAGGAGAAAUCCAGAAUAGGGAGAAGGCAUGGGGAGGAGGAAGAAACAGACAGUACUUACAGAAGUUAAAACGGAAACUAUUUGCAGAAAUGGAAAUCAGAGACACAGGAGGAAUCAGCACAGAGCAAACUGGGCAGGACAAGGCACAAAGGUACCUGGGCUGUGCCUGCCUGCUGCUUGUUCUUUGGAUGCUGUGUCUAUCCCUCAUUUCUCAGGACAGACACUGUCCUGUCCCAGGGGAGUUUUCUUGCAUGAUCGAACAAAAGAACACUGCUUCAUUUGGAUAUUCCUAAUUUCUUAGACCAUCUCUUAAAUCCUCUGGGCCAGGCCAUGCUGGGGACAUACUUGCCUACUCCAGAGGCACAGAGAGAUAAAAGCAAAGGGUAAUCAUCAUAGUGUUGGUUCUGUAUUUGCCCUAUAUCAACUUGGUUCAUAAGGCCAAAGACCAUGACUUUGACUUUUCCUUUCUUGUCCAAGAAAAUAUCAUGUAUUGUCUUCUGUGUUGUCAUUACUGCUUCUGUUCUCCCUGAGACUGCUUGUUGACUGAAGGCAGCAGACACUCUAGCAUGUAUUCUUUGUCCUGCAUGGGUGUCAUCUGGAGUGCCUGGAGGAGAAGGCCAGUCUCAGUGGUUCUUAAUCCUCUAUGACUAGUGUUUUGGACAUAGGCAGAAACGAGGCCAGGGGGGAUGACAAGUCCAAUGUGCCAAUGGUGGGUUGGUUUCCACUCUAAAGUCCUAGUGGGAAAGCAGCAUAAUCAUAAGGGUAGGGAAUGGAGCCAGUCUGAGACUGGUUGUGAAGCCAGGCACUUGGAUAGCCUGCCCUUCCAGUAAGCAAUUGGAGGCCAUGGUCUGGUUAUACUAUCUUUAAUAUAAAGAUUCUUUAUAUCUCGGGCUUAGAACUGAAUAUAUUUUAUUACUUUCCUCCCAUUCUUUGAAGCAGGAUUGCGUUAUUACAUCUGUGAUUGUCAGCUUAUAUCUGGGGUUUACUGUUAGUAAUAGAAAAUUAUGAUGGUUGACCAUAAACAUUGACAAAGAAGAGUUCAAGGGCACCAAAAUUGUAAGCACCAUAGUGCCGGUUUAGCAUUUGCCCUGUUCAAUUGGGGUACUAUGGAUAAAGUUGCUGAUUGUGGCUUUUCCAUUGAAAUCCAACAUUAUAUUAUAUGGCUUCAGGUAGCUGUGAAACAUUGUGUGCCCAUGGCAGUAGAUCAUCACUGCUGUUCUUUGCAAAAUAUUUUCCUGACCUUGUCCUGUUCUAGGUAGCCAUACUUUUGGAUGAAUUUGGAAAGCUGUUGACCUUCAACAAGCUCCAUGAUGAGACAUAAUUUUGUUUUGCUCACAAUGACUUGAAGAAGUGAGAUCAUGUUGAGGUGGUUACCCAUUAUCAUUACUGCCAUGGUCAUUACUGGCUGGCUCAUUGCUUCUACAUUAGCAGGACUUUGAUGUCCACUAUGCAGCAACUCCACUGUGAUAGAUACUCUGCUGUCUAGGCAACUCCACUUUCUAAGGACUACAAAUUUGAGGACAUCUACUAGCACAGGAUGUACACAUUUGCUGGACUUUCACUGUUGCAGCAACUAAACUCUUAAGGGAUGCCCACUGUUGCAGGUUUUCCAGUGUAUCAGGCUGCCACUCUUGAAGGACCUUCACUAUUGUAGGACCUCCACUGUUGAAGCACAUCGAUUAUCUUACCAACUAGAAUUUAUAGGAUGUCAAUUGGCACAGAAAGUCCACUGUUGCAUGACCUCCAUUCUCACUGUAAAUCUACUGUCUCAGGACCUCUACCUUUGUAGGACCUCCAGUGUUGAAGGAUUUCCACUGUUGCAUGUCCACCACUGUCACAGGACCUCCUCUGUCACAGGACUUCCACUCUUCCAGGCUCAUCUCCACUGUCUCAGGACGUCUACUAUAUCUGUAGGACCUCCAAUGUCGCAGGACCUCAACGGACACUGGACCUUCACUCUCCAAUCACCUUAACUAUCAAAGAACCUCCACUGUCUCAGGACCUUCACUGUUUCAGGGCCUCCAAUGUUGGAGCAACUGAACUGCCUCAGGGGCAGGACCUCCAAUGUUCCAGGACCUCCAUUGUCACAGGGCCUCCACUGUCACAGGAUAUCAACUCUUUUAGACUUUUGCAGGACUUCUGCUGGCACGUGACCUCCAUUUUUGAGGGUUCUCCAUAGUUUCAUUACUUUUACAUUGACAGGAAUACCAUUCUUGCAGAACCUCCACUGUCCCAGGACCUCCAGUAUUACGGACUUCCUCAGUCCAAGUAGCUCCAUUAUUGAAGGACAUCUCUGGUUGCAGGACAUCCACUUUUACAGUGCCUCCGUUGUUAUAGGACACCCACUGUUCCAGCCUAAUCUCCACUCUCUCAUUAUCUCCAAUAUUUUAUGAUUGCCAAUAAUGGUGGACUUCCAUUGUUACAGUAAUUCCACUAUCUCUGUGCCUACAUUGUUUCAGGACCUACACUGACUCAUGAUAGGCACAGCUGCAUCAAGUUCACUUUCAAUUUUUAUUGACAUUGCUAGUUAUUAUAUUUCACCCUUACUGGAAUGUGAUGUUACGUUUGAAAGCCCAAGAAUUUGUUUUUUUAGCACAUGUGACUGAUUUCCACAUGUUCUAGGACUGUUAUCCCCUGGAAGAUCACAAUAGCUCAUAUCCCUCUAUUCCUCACCUUGUGGGAGCUGUUGCCUUUCAGAGGGUAAUGCAAUUCAGGUGAAAGGAUAGGAUCAGCAAGUGAUAACUUUGUAGAGUGGGGUAUACAUCAGUCACAUUGAGUUCCUGAUGGGAAGAGGAGAAAUCCAGAACAGGAAUAACCCUUGGCAUAGAGGAAGAAUCAAAAAGUACUUACAGAAGGUAAGAAGGUACCAAUUUUAAAGAAAUGGAAAUGAUAGAGGAAGAACCAGCACAGAGCCAACUGAGUAAGAUAAAGCACCAAGGUACCUGGGCUGUACCUGGUCCUUGUUCUCUGCAUGCUAUCCUUAUUCGUUCUUUUUGGGGAGACUCUGUCCUGCCUCUUGUGAAGUUUCUUUCUGGGUGUAAAGCCAUAACAAAGGUUCAUCAGGGAACUUCCCCCAUUUCUUCCUCCAUCUCUUAAAGCCUCUGCUCCGACACCAGCUGGUGAAUAUCUUGCACUCUUCUGAAGCACAGACAGAGAAUAUGUUGUUUUUUCUGUUCUCAUUGAUGCUGCUCUUCUCCCUGAAGCUGCUCAUUCAGUAAAUGUGGGAGACAGUGUCUUUUGUCCAGUGUUGGUGUCAUCUGGAGUGGCCUGAAGAGAAGGCCAGUCCCACUGGGUCUUCUGCCUACUCUAUAACAAGAAUUUUGGAUAAAAACAGAAGUUAGACCAUUGGAAGAUGACGAAACUAAUGUGCUGAUGGUGGGCUGGCUUCUGCUCUUCUUUAUUCCUAGAGGGAAAGCAGCAGCAGCAUCAAUGUUAGGGAAUGGUGCCAUAACUGUUCUCACUAGGUGACACUGUGUUGUGCAGCCAUGUCCCUUGAUAGCCUGCCCUUGCAGUAAGCAAUAGGAUGCCAUGGUCUUGAUAUACUUUUUUUGGUACCUGUAGUAUCUAGGGCUUGGAACCAAAUAUAUUGUAUUGCUUCCACAAUUGCAAGUUCUGUCCUGAGUGUGAUCAGUUGCUCAUAGGGAUUUGGGAAUGCUUUUCUGUCUCUCUUGAACUAGAUUUGCAUGAUGGCGUCCAUGACUGUCAGCCUGUAUCCGGGGUUUACUCUCAUUAAGAACUUAUGCAGGUCAUCCAGCUCUUCUCAUAUCCCACAGGGGGCAGGAUUCACACAGGCUACAACCUGACUUCUCAGCCCUUUUAUGACUAGUCAAAUGAAACCUCUGACUACCAUGAAAUGUAAGACUACUCAUGUCUUCCCUGUGUCAUUCUUUGGACUAUCAUAAAAUUUGCCUAGAUAGAGCUCCACGGCAGCAAAAGGUAAUCAUCAUAGUGUCAGUUCUCUAUUUGCCCUAUAUCAACUUGGUUCAUAAAGCCAAAGACCAUGACUUUGACUUUUCCUUUCUUGUCCAAGAAAAUAUCAUGUGUUUUGAGGUUUCUUUGAACUAUUAUGUGACUAUGGCAGUAGUUCAUGUCUGAUAGUAUUUACCUAAAUGUUUCCCUGGUUUUGUUCUCCACCAACUGGCCAGCUGUUCAGACGUGUCUGUAAAACUGGUGACCUUCAAGUAGCGUCACGACAAGGUAUUGUCUUGUUUCAGACUCAAUUACUUGGAGUAGUGAAAUGAUGUUGGAAUGGUCAAAAAUCAUCAGUACAUGUGCCAUCUUCAUUACUGGCUGUCACCCUUGCUUCUUCUUUACCAGCACUUUGACAGCCACUGUAGCAGGACAUCCACUGUUCCAGUAUGGUAAUGACCCAGCACCUUCACUAUCACCGUUCUUCCACUCUUGCAGGACCUCCACUCUUGCAGGACCUCCACUCUUGCAGCACCUGCAUUUAGUCAGGACCUCCACUGUACCAGUCCCAUCUCCAUUUUCCCAGGAACUCUACUCAUGCUGGUCCUCCAAUGUUGCCUGACCUCCAAUGUAAAAGUACCUGCACUAUCUCAUUGCCUCCAGUAUUGCAGGACCAACAUUGUCACAGGAUCCACACUGUUUACUAAGUCCACCAUCACUGUUUUGAAGGAAUUGCUGGUUAUUAUUUUUGAGGCGUAAUGGAAUGUGAUGUUACUUCUGAAAACUUAAGAAUUUGUUCUUCAGCUCUUGUGAUUAAUUGCCAGAUAUGUUAGGAACAGUUGCCUCUGGAAGAUUCCAUUAGCCCAUAGUAGGCCUCUAGGCCUGACCUUGUGGGAGCUGUUGUAUUUUGGGGUGCUCUAAGUACAGAUGAAGGCAUGGGGUCAGCAGGACAAGUCUGUAGAGUGUGGUACACAUCAGUCAUAUUUAAUGCCUGCUGGGAACUAGAGAAAUAUAGAACAGCAAGAGGGCUUGGCAUAGACCAAGAAUCAUAUAGUACUUACAGAAGUUAAAAAGGAAACAAUUUUGAACAAAUGGAAAUCAGAGACACAGGAGGACCCUCAUAGAGUAAAUUGGGUAGGACUUAGCACAAAGGUACCUGGGUUGUGCCUGCAACUUGUUCUCUGGAUGCUCUAACUGUGCUUCAUUUCUCAAAAGAGACAAGGUGUUCUGCCUCAGGUGAGAUUUCUUUCUUGAUGAAGAGCAGCAACACAUUUCAUCAGGACAUUUUUUUUUAUUUCUUGUUCCAUCCUUAAAGCCUUUUGGAUGGCCACUACUGGGGACAGUGUUGCCCUCUCCUUAGGCACAGAGGAAUAAUAGGUUGUCUUCUGUGUUCUCAUUGCUGCUUCUUUUCACCCUAAGGCUGCUUGUUGACUGAAGGCAGAAGACACCCUGGCAUGUAUGUUUUGUCCAGUGCAGGUGUCCUCUGGAGUGGCCUGAAGAGAAGGCCAGUCUCAGUGGUUCUUCUGAAUCCUCUAUGACUAGAAUUAUGGACAUAGGCAUAAACAAGGCUAUGGGAGAUGACAAGUCCAACGUGCCAAUGGUGGGUUGGUUUCCACUUCUCUGCAGUCCAGGCCUAGUGCGGAAGUAGCAUACUCAUCAAGGGUAGGGAAUGGAGCCAUAACUGGAGUAACUGUCUGAGGCUGGUUGUGAAGCCAGGCACCUGGAUAGCCUGUCCUUACAGUAAUCAGUUGAAUGCCAUGAUCUGCUUAGACUUUCUUUGAUAUAAAGGAACAUUAUGUCUUGUGUUUUGAAUGGAACAUAUUGCAUUACGUCCAAAAUUCCAGGGUGUGGCUUGAGAGGUAUCAUUUCCUCAUAGGGAUUUGGGAAAUGCUCCCAUUCUUCUUUGAAGCAGGGGUGCAUUAUCAUGUCUAUGAUGGAUAUAUCUGGGUUUGACUGUCAUUAAGUUGCUAAGCAGGUCAUCUAGCUCUCUUGACACCCAACAGUGGUCAAGAUACACACCUGCCACAUGUCUUCUCAACUCGUGUAUGAAAAUAGAGGCAACAUUUCCAACUACCUUAAAAUGUAAGACUCUAGCAUUCAUAUGUGGUUCUUUGAACCAUCAUAAAUUUAUCCUAGGAAGAGUUCAUGGGCAUCAAAAGUGUUAGCACCAUUGUAAAGGUUCAGCAUUUGCUCUGAUUGUCUUGGGUACUAAGGUCAAAGUCAAUGAUUUUGGCUUUUUGUUUCUUAUCCAACAUAUUAUUUGUUUGUCCUGUGAUUAUUCUGUGCCCCUGAGAGUAGAUCCAGGCUGUUAAUAUUUGCAUAAACUUUGCCAGGCCUUGUCCUUCACUAUGUAGCUAUACUUUGAGAUACAUUUGUAAAGAUGUUGAACCUCACCCAGCUCCAUGACAAGGUAUCCACUUGUUUUGGUCUCAAUAACUUGUAGAUGAUGUUGGGGUAGAUAAACACAAUUGUUGUCAUUGCCAUGGUCAUUACUGGAUGGCAUAAGUGCUUCUUCCUCACAAGGACUUGGAGGCCACUGUAUCAGAACAUCCACUGUCUUAGCACCUGCUUUUUCCCAACACAUCCACUGUACUGUCUGUCCAAGCCUAUGUUUUGUUGCCUUGCCCCUGAACUUCCUGCCAUUGCAGAAGGAAGUAGGAUGACAUGGUCUGGUUAAUAUAUUGUCUGGUUGAAGUGUCCUUAGUUUCUAGGGCUUGGAAUCCAAUGUAUUCCAUUGCUUUUUCACAUUAGCAGGGUCUGGCCUGAGGGGGAUCAGUUGCUCAUAGGGAUUUGGGAACUGCUUCUAGUCUUAGUUGAACUAGGGUUGCAUCAUGACCACAAUGACUGUUGGCCUAUAUUUAUGGUUGACUAUCUUUAAGAGGCUAAGUAGGUCCUCCAGCUCUUCUGACACCCCACCAGAGGCAGCAUAUACCUCUUUUACAGCCUGUCUUCUCAGCUCCAAAAUUAAGAGAGAAUCAAAUGGAAACUUUCUGACUGCCAAAAAUUAUAAAAUUCCACCCAAGGUCCAUAUUUUGUUCUUUGGAACAUAAGAAAAUUUUUCAACGAAGAGUUCAGGGACACCAAAAGUAUAAGUAUCGCAGUGCUGGUUCAGCAUUUCCCCUGGGUAGAAUGAGGUACUAGGCCAAAGUUCAUAAUCUUGACUUUUCAAUUGAUAUACAAACCAGCACUCUUUGGCUUCACGUCCCUGUGAAGUAUUGUUUGCCCGUAGAAGUGGCUCAUCACAGCUAUUAUUUGCACAAUAUUUCCCUAGCCUUGACUUGCUCUAGGUAGGCAUAUUUUGGCACACAGUAAGCAAGAUGAUCUCCUGGUUUGAUUAUGCAUUGUAAUAUCUUAGACUCAGAAUCCAUUAUGGUGCAGUUCUUCCACAAAUGCAGGGUCUAGCCUGACAGAGCUCAGUCCUUCAUAGAGAUUUGGGAAAGACUUUCAGUCUUCCUUUAACCAGGGGUACAUCAUCCCAUCUGUGACUGUCAACCUAUAUUUCAUGUUGACUAUCAUUAGGAGGCUAAGAGGUCCUCCAUCUCUUCUGACACCCCGCAGGGGUUAGGAUACAUACAUGCCACAAUGGUCUUCUCAAUUGUAGUAUGAAUACAGAGUAAGAUCUGACUUUUUUAACUACCAUGAAAUGUAAAACUCAGGUCCAUUUGUCAUUCUGUGGACUAUCAUAAAGUUGCUGAGGAAGAGUUCAGGAGCUCCAAAAGAGAAAGCACCACAGUGCCACUUCAGCAUUGCCCUGGUUCAACUAGGGUUCUAAGGCAAAAGUCUAUGAUUUUGACUUCUCCAUUUAUGUCCAAUGGUAAAAUUAUCAGGUUUCUGUUCCCUGUGCACUAUACCCUGGUCAUUUCAUUAGCUCACAGUUAUGAUUAUUUGCCUAAAUAUUUCCCUGCCUUUGUCCUCCCCUAGGUGGUCCCAUUUUCAGGUGCUUUGGUAAAGCUGUUGUCCUUCAACAAGUUCUUACUUGCAGAAGUGAGAUGCUGUUCAGGUGGUCGACCAUCAUUGUCUCUGCCUUGGUCAUGAGUGUCAGGCACCAUUGCUUCUUUAGAAGCUGUUCGAUUGCUCUGGGGCUGCCACUGAGUCGAAGGCGUUGCUCCUGUGUCCCAUGGUCCUUAAGACUUUGUAUUGAGAGUGGAAUUUUCCCUCAUCAGAAAUUCUGCUGAGGGCUAGGGUGUGGGGUCUGCUCUUUACUAUGUGUAAGCAUUGUAGCUAAAGAUACUACAAAUAUAACCUACAAAUAACUUAAAAGUAUAGAAUAAAAAUAGUGGAAAAGAUGUAGGGAAACUGAAGCUAAAUUCACAGCAUGUGUUUACUAAAAUGACCAAAAUGUCUUUGGGAUUGCAAUUUAUUCUUUUAUUUGUUUUUGUUUUACUUUUUGUUUUUGUUUUUUUCUUUGUUUUUUGGCUCUCUCAAGAGGGCAACCCUGUAGUGCAAUAGAUCACAUAUUCAGAUGAUGUCAGGUGAAAUAGUCAUUGGCCACAUAAAGGCUAAAGCCUGUGUUUGGGCAAUGGAAGGAAAGACACAGCAGAACUUUUUGGGGAAUGGAGAGAAAGAAGAAUAGAGGCGGAAGAUUCGGGCAAGAAGAAGAUGGGGGAGAAAGAGGUUGAAAAUGGAGCAGGCACACGUGGCUUGCAGGAGCCACAAGUAGGUAGAGAUUUUAUAAAUGGGCAAUAGAGUAGUGUAGUGGUAGAUUUGUCUAAUCUAAGCACUCAGCUUAUAAUUAUAUAAUUGAGUUUUCUGUUUUUGCAUGGGCCUUUUGGCGUUGGAGAUUUACCCCUAUAAAUCUGGCUAGUAGAAGCUUCUUGGGUUUUCAUUACAAAAGACUAAGGCAAAUCCUGUGAGAGGAGCAUUGGCCAGCCUUCUGCAGGUCGGGGAGAUGGGGUGGAUGAGAUAAGAAACGCAAGCAGCAGUCCAGGCAUUUCAGAUUAAAGUUGUUUGGUUAGAGUAGCAAACUAGGAGCAGGAACCAGGCAAGAUGGAUGCAUAGACCUGGCCAUGUGGGUUGAGCAUUACCACUGAUACCAGAGCAUAGCAGGAAUUUGCAUUCCUGUGUUCUCAUUGCUGUUGUGUUCUCUCUGAGGAUGAUUGUUGAAUGAAUUCAGGCGACACUGCUGCUGUGGAUGUAUGUUUGUCCAGUGUGGGUGUAAUCUGGUGUGGCCUCAAGAAACAAAGGGCAGCCCCAGUGACUCUUCUGCCUACUUUUUGACCAGAUUGUGGUCAAAGGAAGUCACUAGACCAUUGGAUGAUGAUGAGGCCUGUGCGUAUAGGGCGAGGUAGCUACCACUCCUCUACAGCCCAACAGGAAUGCAUCAUCACCAUCAAGGAAAGGGAAUAACUGGACUCAAUGUGUGAGCCUCCAUUGUUCAGCCUUGCACCUGGAGAACUUGCCUGUACAGUAAGCCACAUGAUCCCAUGGUUUUAUUUUAUAUUACAAUAUCUUAGGCUCUGAACCCAGUAUGUUCUAUUUCUUCCACAAUUGCAGGGUCUAGCCUGACAGAGCUCAGUCCUUCAUAGGGAUUUGGGAAAGCCUUUCAGUCUUCCUUUAACCAGGGGUACAUCAUCACAUCUGUGACUCUCAACCUAUAUUUCGUAUUGACUAUCAUUAAGAGGCCAAGAGGUCCUAUAUCUCUUUUGACACCCCACAAAGGUUUGGAUACAUACUUGCCACAAACGGUCUUCAAAACUGUAGUAUGAAGACAGAGUAAAAUCUGACUUUUUUAAUCUACCAUUAAAUGUAAAACUAUGGUCCAUAUGUCAUUCUGUGGACUAUCAUAAAGUUUGCUGAGGAAGAGUUCAGGAGCUCCAAAAGAGAAAGGACCACAGUGCCAGUUCAGCAUUGCCCUGGUUCCACUUGAGUUCUAAGGUGAAAGUCGAUGAUUUUGACAUUUCCAUUUAUGUCCAUCAUAAACUUAUCAGGUUUAGAUUCCCUGUGUACUAUACCCUGGUCAUGGCAUUAGCUCACAGUUGCAAUUAUUUGCCUAAAUAUUUUUUGCCCUUGUCCUCCUCUAGGUGGCCCCAUUUUCAGGUGUUUUGGUAAAGCUGUUGUCCUUCCACAAGCUCUUACUUGUAGAAGUGAGAUGCUGUUCAGGUAGUCAACCAUCAUCAUUGUCUCUGCCUUGGUCAUGAGUGACAGGCACCAUUGCUUCUUUAGAAGCAGUUCCAUGGCCAUGGGUCUGCCACUGAGGCAAAGGCGUUGCUCCUGCGUCCCCUGGGCUUUAAGACUUUGUUUUGAGAGUGGAAGUGUCCCUCAUCAGAAAUUUGCCUGGGGCUUGGGUGUGGGAACUCCUCCUUACUAUGUGGAAUCAUUGUAGCUAAGAAUACUACAAAUAUUCCCUAGAAAUAACUUAAAAUUAUAGAAUAAAAAUGAUGAAAAAGAUGUAGAGAAACUGAAGCUACAAUCACUGCAUGUGUUAACUAAAACUGAGCAAAAUGUCUUGUGGACUGCAGUUUUUUGUUUUGUUUUUCUUGCUCUCUCAAGAGGGCAACUCUGUAGUGCAAUAGAUCACAUAUUCAGGUGAUGUCAUGGGAAAUAGUAAUUGGCCAAAUAAAGGCUACAGCCAGUGUUUGGGCUAUGGAAGGAAAAGAUAGAGCUGAAUGUUUUGGGGUAGGGAGAGAAAGAAGAAUAGAGACGGAAUAUUCGGGCAAGAAGAAGAUGGGGGAGGAAGAGGUUGAAAAUGGAGCAGCCCCAUGUGUCUUGCACGAGCCACAAGAAGGUAGAGAUGUCAUAAAUGGGCAAUAGAGUAGUGUCGUGGUGUAUUUGUCUGAUCUAAGCACUCAGCUUGUAGAUAUAUUACUGAGUUUUCUGGUCUUUGCAUGGGCCUUUUGGGGUUGGAGAUUUACCCCUAUAAAUCUGGCUAGUAUAAGCCUCUAGGGUUUUCAUUACAAAAGACUAACGCAAGUCCUGUGAGAGGAGCAUUAUCCAACCUUCUGCAGGUCAGCCAGAGGUGGUGGAUGGGAUGAGAAAUGCAAGCAGUAGUCCAAGCAUUUCAGAUUAAAGGUGUUUGGUUAGAGUAGCAAACUAGCAGCAGGGACCAGGACAAGAUGGCUGCAUAGAGCUAGCCAGGUGGGGUGAGAAACACCACUACUACCAGAGCAUAGCAGGAAUUUGCAUUCCUGUGUUCUCAUUGCUGCUGUUGUUCUCACUGAAGCUGAUUAUUCAGUGAAUUCAGGCGACACUGCUGGCAUGGAUGUAUGUUUGUCCAGUGUGGGUCUCAUCUGAAGUGGCCGGAAGAAGAGAAGAACAGCCCUCUUCGCUCUUCUGCCUUCUCUUUGGCAAGAUAAUGGCCAAAGGUAAACACAAGGCCAUUGGAGGAUGUGGAGACCAGUGUGACUAGGGUGGGGUAGCUUCCACUCCUCUUCAGCUCAAAGGUAAUGCAUCGUAUACAUCAAGGGUAGGGAAUAACUGGAUUCGAUGUGUGAGCCUCUGUUGUUCUGCCCUGCACCUGGAGAACUUGCCUGUACAGUAAGCCACAUGAUCCCAUGGUUUGAUUAUAUGUUGUGAUAUCUUAGGCUCUGUACCCAGUAUGUUCUAUUUCUUCCACAAUUGCAGGGUCUAGCCUGACAGAGCUCAGUCCUUCAUAGGGAUUUGGGAAAGCCUUUCAAUCUUCCUUUAACCAGGGGUACAUCAUCACAUCUGUGACUGUCAAACUAUAUUUCGUGUUGACUAUCAUUAAGAGGCCAAGAGGUCCUACAUCUCUUCUGACACCCCACAGAGGUUAGGAUACAUACUUGCCACAACCGGUCUUCAAAACUGUAGUAUGAAGACAGAGUAAAAUCUGACUUUUUUUAAUCUACCAUUAAAUGUAAAACUAUGGUCCAUAUGUCAUUCUGUGGACUAUCAUAAAGUUUGCUGAGGAAGAGUUCAGGAGCUCCAAAAGAGAAAGGACCACAGUGCCAGUUCAGCAUUGCCCUGGUUCCACUUGAUUUCUAAGGCAAAAGUCGAUGAUUUUGACUUUUCCAGUUAUGUCCAACAUAAUCUUAUCCAGUUUCAGUUCACUCGGUACUAUACCGUGCUCAUGGCAUUAGCUCACAGUUGCUAUUAUUUGCCUAAAUAUUUCCCUGCCCUUGUCCUCCUCUAGGUGGCCCCAUUUUCAGGUGUUUUGGUAAAGCUGUUGUCCUUCAAUAAGCUCUUAAUUGUGGAAGUAAGAUGCUGUUCAGGUUGUUGACCAUCAUCAUUGUUUCUGCCUUGGCCAUGUGUGGCCUACACCAAUGCUUCUUUACAAGCAGUUCGAUGGCCAUGGGACUGCUAGGGAGGCGAUGAUGUGAUAUCGGGACCUUGGCAUUGCUCCUUAAGUCCUUAAGACUUUGUACUGAGUGUGGAAGUUUCCCUCCUCAGAGAUUCUGCUGGGGCCUAGGGUUUGGGAAAUCCUCCUUACUAUGUGUAAGCAUUGUAGCUAAAAAUACUACAAAUAAUACCUAGAAGUAACUUUAAAAGUGUAGAAUAAAAAUAAUGAAAAAGAUGUUUGGAAACUGAAGCUAUCGUCACUUCAUGUGUUAACUAAAAUGAGCAAAAUGUCUUGUGGAUUACUGUUUGAAUUUUUUCCUCUCAAGAGGGCGGCCCUGUAGUGCAAUAGAUCACAUAUUCAGAUGAUGUCAAUUGAAAUAGUAAUUAGCCAUAUAAAGGCUACAGCCUGUCAUUGGGCAAUGGAAGGAAAAGAUAGAGCAGAAUGUUUUGGGAAAGGGAGAGAAAGAAUAGAGAUGGAUGAUGCGGGCAAGAAGAAGAAGAUGGGAGAGAAGAGGUGGAAAAUGGAGCAGGCCCAUGUGGCUUGCAGGAGCCACAAGUAGCUAGAGAUUUCAUAAAUGGGCAAUAGAGUAGUGUAGUGUUAGAUUUGUCUAAUCUAAGCACUCAGCUUGUACUUAUAUUAUUGAGUUUUCUGUUUUUUGACUGGGACUUUUGGAGUUUGAGAUUUACCACUAUAAAUCUGGCUAGUAUAAGCUUCUGGGUUUUCAUUUCAAAAGACUAAGGCAAGUCCUGUGAAAGGAGCAUUAUCCAACCUUCUGCAGGUCAGCCAGAGGUGGUGGAUGCGAUGAGAAAUGCAAGCAGUAGUCCAGGCAUUUCAGAUUAAAGUUGUGUGGUUAGAGUAGCAAACUACCAGCAGGAACCAGGACAAGAUGGCUGCAUAGAGCUAGCCAUGUGGGUUCAGGAUAACCACUGAUACCAGAGCAUAGCAGGAAUUUGCAUGGGUUUAAUUUAAAACUUCAUGCAAUAGAAGAUGUUGCCUGUGGUAGUCAACAAUCCACUAGGGAGUUAGGAUUCUUGUCCUAGGGAUGAGAGAAUUAGAUUCCUGAAUGAGCAGAGAUGAGUCAAGUGACUCCAGCACAUGGGAAUCUUAAUCAAACACAGUGAUAGACAGACCCAAAUCAGGCUCUGAGUUCUCCUCUUGUAAAAAGAAUCAGUAUAAUAAAUGGAUCCAGGCAGAGAGGGAGACUGAAGACUGCCUGCUUUUAAUGAAGUUUGGUUUAGUUGUUGCUAAUUUGGUGUAAUUUUGUUUAAAGAUAGAAGAGGACACAAUUUUGGCCACAGUCACCUGGGGAAUUCCUCCUGAGGUUCAGAGCUAACUCAGGGCAAAUGGGCCCAGAUUAUCUGGGAGCUCCUGCUGUGCAGGGACAAACUGAGCUAACAGAAAAACUACAGCCUCCAAGGCAGACAGCAGAAUUUGGAUAAGGAUGAAAUCCUCUAGGAAAGUCUCAGUGUCUCACAGGAUUCUCAUAUUCUCUCAAAAGAGGGUUAAAUGUCCUGUCUUGGCAGAUUAGAAAAGGCCCGAAAAAACUGUUUCUACUCUGCUUGUUUGGUUUAGUUCCCUCGUAUGAGUAUUUAAUUUUCGAAAUGUAUGUGAUUUUGAAUUUUCUGGUUAUUUUACUAUUCCUCUGGGAAAGAUGUCAACCUAAAAAUCUUUCUGGUUACUGGCUAAAGCGCAUGCUAAUUUGGGAGAAAGACCUUAUGUUUCUGCUUAUAGGAAAAGUAAUUAGGCACUGGACUCCUUCCAGGGUUCUCUGGGUCAGAAAGGGCAGAUGAGCCCCCCUGAAGAACUAGAAAAUUCAAGAGAACCAAGCAAGAAAGGUAAAGAUUCCUUAUGCCAUUGUUCACAAUGCAUGAACGAAGACUUAUGAUUAGUUAUUAUUAAAUUUGGCUCAUAAAAAGACUAUCUUUUCACAUGCUUAAACAAAGAGCAGUAUUUCAUCUUGAGUAGUCAAGGUAUUUCAUGUUAAACUGGUUCACAAUUGGCUUAGCAAUCGAGCCUCAGGAUGCAGAGUAACACAGCUGCAUAGAGCUAGCCAUAGGGACUGGGUGAAACUCUGAUGCCUGUGUUUAGCCAGACUUAGUGUGGGGUUAUUUUAAAAAUUACAUGUAACAAAAAGUGAUUGAAAGAAACUAAAGUCAAAGUUAGGAAAAUAGAAUAAAAAUUAUGGAAAAGAUAUCAGGGAAAAAGCUAAAGUCAAAAAUCCCAAGUAAAAUUCAAACAAAUAACCCACCUUGUAUUCUGUUCAGAAAAGUCACGAAGCUCUCUAGAAGGAGACAAGACAGGAUGCAGCUGUUGGGCUAUCUCAGGCAAACUCUGCACCAGAGCACCUGUUCAAAGAGAUUAGAACAUCAUUAUUGUAUCAUGGAUGUUUACUGGGAGAAUGGAAUGAUUUCACAGCUGAGUUGUGGAAUUCUAUAGAUCUAUAAAAUAACCUCUGCAGUGGAUAAUAUAAAGUUAUGAAAUAUCUUCCAGCUUCAUUAAUCAGAACUAUAAAUUUUCAAUCUAGCCCAUGGACGCUGAUGGUAACUGUCGCUUCUGUUUCCGACCCGCAGAAAAGAGCGACUACACAGCGUUCUUUUCAAAGCGGUUUAUUCAGGAACCUUACAACAUGCAAACAGGAAUCUUUCUUUUCUUUUCUUCUGUCUCCCUCCCAGCCCAGCCCCCGAGCACACUCCCUUAUAUCCUCCCUCAACUCCGCCUCCUCAGUCCAGACUGCAUAAUCUCAGUUCAUAGGUCCACGUCACAUGGCCUGAUCUUGCAUCAUGGUGCACCUGCACAGCUCUCACAAUGGACGUGGCUAGUUUCAGGUGUGUGAGGAAGUCAGAUGCUAGUCACGAGACUUAGCUGCAGUCCCAGGCGCCAUCUUGGGACUACCGCCACACCCGCUCCCCACAGGUAACUGUGAUUUCAAGGUCAUUUCCAAUCAUCUAUGUUAAGUGUUUUGACUCAAGGAAACUGGCAUUGCCAUAGAUGAAAUCAGUAAAAGGCAUAUUUAUUUCUUCUUUGCCACAUAACUAGACAAAUGUCAGUUCAAAAAGUUGCGAUUAUUUAGUGUACUUUUUUCAUCUCAGUUACUUAUGUAUUUUUUCAUUUAUUUAAAUUUCCAUACAUGUAUACAGUAAAAUAUGGUCAUAUCCACCCUAACAUCUGUCCUCCAACUUCUACAAGAUUCCUCUCAGAAUCACCCGAUUGACUCUAUAGCCCUGGUUGGUCUGGGACUUGCUGUGUAAAUCAAAUUAGCCUAGAACUCACAGAGGUCCACCUGAAUCUGAUCCUGGGCUUAAAAGUCAGCACCACUAAACCAUUCCUCUGUGUGUGUGUGUGUGUGUGUGUGUGUGUGUGUGUGUGUGUGUGUGUGUGUGUGUACAGAAAUACACAUACACACAUUUUUUGUAUCCCAGUAAGCCCUAUUAGUGCUAGUCAUACAUGCAUACUGUGUGUACAGACAUUCACUGGAUUAUCAGAGUCCUACCAGUGGCUUGUCCCCAAGGAAGAGUGAAUUUCUAUCAGCUGUUGUUAACUGCAGCUCCUCAUUUGAUGCAAGGGCUUAUAAGUUCUUCUCCCACCCAUGCACGAUGUGCAAACAAAUGACACAGCCACCUCCGUCACUUUACUCGGUUAACAUAUACUAAUAAAAUGUUAUGGUAUUUUCAAAUUUAUAUGUACCUGUAUUGUAUAUGUAUAAUGACACAUUGUAUAUACUUGUAAUGGCUAUUCUUGGUUGUGAACUUGACUAUAUGUGGAAUGAACUUCAAUCCAGAAUUGGAAAGCUCACCUUUGAUCCUGAUUUGAGGCUGGGAGACACAAAUUUCUGAACUGAAUCUUGGCAUGGAGAUCAUGAGGCAAAGUGGCUGUGAAUCUCAGGAGUUUAAGACAAGGAGAUCUCUGAGUUCAAGGUCACCUAGGACAAAGCAAGUCCCAGUUCCAGCUGUGGUGGUACACACCUUUAAUCUGGGACACACCUUCUGCUGGAGAUUUAUAUAAGGACAUUGGAAGAAGGAAGAGUCUCUCUUUCAUCUGCCUGCCUGAUUUGUAGGACUGAGCCACUGCUAGAUCCUUGGACUCCUAUCCAUACCUGUUGCUGAUCAUUGUUGGGGAGUUGGACUAUAGACUGCAAGUCAUCAACCAAUUGUCUUACUGUCCAGAGAUUUCCCAUAAGUUCUGUGUCUCUAAAGAACCCUGUAUAAGACAAUUCUCUUUUAUAAUAUAUAAUUUCUAUUGAUAGAUAAUGUAAUUUAUUUUUUUAUUCAUAAUAUUAUUAUAUUCAUCCCUAUGUUUAUAUGUAAAUAAAACACAGGUUGUAUGCCUAUGAAACAGUAACACACUGCAUACUUGAUGACUGCUGUCUUUUCCCUACUCCCUACUGCAGGGGAGAAAAUGGACCAUUCUCAUCAAUGAAAAAGGUAAAAUAAAAUGUUAACUAUUGGCUGGAAACACAGAUGGUUUACACAUAAAAUUACAUCUUCUUGAUUGCUACUUUAGAAAUUUAUCUUCAUUUCCUGAAGUCACUUUUUAUGAUACAUUACUAUAUCAAAUACUAUCUCAUAGUUUUUAAGGUAAGUUAAUUUUAUUCUUGGUACAAAAGUAUACACAUAGUGUUGUGCAACUUCCAGUAAUAUCCGGGUAGGGCUUCAUGCACAUGACUGUAUGGUUUAAUACUUCCCUAUGUGAUCCAAAGCUCUUUUGUUGUCAUAUUAUGAUCUCUAAGCAGAAUAUUUUUGAUCCUGAAAUUAUAUACAAUACCUAACUUUUUCUAAAACACUUCAUUAGCUCUCCAUAGAAUGCUAUUUAAGUGUGUUUGACUGUUCGGUCCCAGGAUAUGAAUUCCAGUAGAGCACUUUCUGGAUAAUAUUUCCUUACAAAGUGCUGUUAACUGCUUCCUCCAAGAAGUUAAUUUCUUGUCUUGAAAUUUAAACCUUAUGUUUAAAUAGAAGAUAGAGAAGGCAGAUGCUGGAUUAUUUAGUACCAAGCUGGUUUUCUGUCCUGAUAUGGGUAAGGGCUAGUCACUUGAGGUGUUUCUCAUUCCUUUGGAUUUGUAGCUGUUUCAGACUUUAUAAAUAAUCAUUUUGAGUAUUACAAGUCUAUGGGCAUUUUCUCACCAAAUUGUCCAUUUUUACAGGAGUAUUUUUCUUACAAGUUUGGAACCAUAAAAUAGAAACUUUCCUAACUAGUCAAGCUACUAGGGUGUAUGUGGGCAGGGUUUUGCACAUUUCCUGCUGUGUGAUUUAAUUGUGCUGUUCUGACCAUUUUUUUUGCAUAGGCUGCUGGCCAGUAUAAGCUGGAAAUCUAUGUUAAAUCGUUGUCCAAGGAGGUAUUGCAGAUGUGGUCAGUAUUUGUUUUAAAGGAAACAGUGAAAGGCAUUCUUCACUCGAGCUUUGUGAAAUAAUGUGCAGAUGCUUAUGGCUGUGGAUACUGUGUGGUGUGAGGAAUGCUGUUGUGCACUGACAGUGUGGUGUGAGGAAUGCUGCUGUGCACUGACUGUGUGGUGUGAGGAAUGCUGUUGUGCACUGACUGUGUGGUGUGACGAAUGCUGCUGUGCACUGACUGUGUGGUGUGACGAAUGCUGCUGUGCACUGACUGUGUGGUGUGAGGAAUGCAGCUGUGCACUGACUGUGUGGUGUGAGGAAUGCUGCUGUGCACUGACUGUGUGAUGUGAGGAAUGCUGCUGUGCACUGACUCUGUGGUGUGAGGAAUGCUGUGGUGCAUUGACUUGCUGCCUUUUUUCUUUUCUCCCUACCCCUGCAUCCUUCUGGUGGUUCAGGUUGGACAACUAGGUGCCCAUGACCAAGUCCUCAUUGUGGAUGGAUUUAGUCUAUUUGGACAUUCUCAGGAAAGGGCAGCAGAACUCAUGACUAGUACCAGUCCCAUGGUUACCCUGGAAGUUGCAAAUCAAGGCAUCCUCUUUCACUGCCUGUCCACCUUUCUUACCCAGCCAUUGUCCUCCAUGGUGCAGAGAGGUAAGAGCUAGUGACUCAAGCCAGGUUAGCCAACAUAUAGUGAUCCUGUAUUGGGAUAUGGCUACUCCUAAAAGUUAUCAAAAUCUGGGGCUGGAAAGAUGAUUCAGUAUUUUACAACACCAGUGUUAUCCCAAAACUCUAAUUUUAUGGGAUUUAAAGCACUUUUCUAAGUUCUCUGGACAUGAGUCAAGCAUUCGUGUGUACACAUGCUGGGCAAACACUCAUACACAUAAAUUAUUUUUAUAAAGAGAGGCCCUAAAAUUCCCAUGUAGUAGCUCCUACCACAGCUCUUGCUCAGCUCUUCAAGGAAGAAGUUAGUUGAGACUGAGUGCAUGAUGCUGAGAAAUACUUCUGGAUCAUGAUUCAGAUCAGAUCUAAUGGUACAGUUUCCUAGAUAUAGUUACAGUCUGUUAAGUGCAGUAUUGUGAACUCUCUUCUGACCCUGCCUCAGCUUUGGAACCUGCACACCUUAGCGCCUAACCUUUGUAGCUACAGUAUCAACAACAAUAUCAGUGUCUGACAACCUAGAAUCCUGUAUACUAAAGCGAGGAACAGGAAACAAUCCUGGCUAGACCAUGUGUUGGCAUGUUAAAGCAGAACACCAUUUAAAAACUCAAAGAGGGAAGUGGGUAACGAAUGAGUCCCGGGUGAGCAGACAGGAAGACUAAACUGUGAACAGGCAUUGAUAAUCACACCAGGGGACAGCACCAUGUGAUGCUGUCAUACUGAUUGAUGGAAAAUAAUAUGUGAGUUAUCAGGUGAGAGAAGAGUAGUUGAGUACUUUUAAAUAUUACUUGAAAAAUAGUUACUUUGUUAUUUACAAAUUAUAAGUCAGAUCUGAGAAAAUAAAUAAGGUCAAUUUCUCCCAUAGAUACAUACUAAGUGAAUGAAAAGUUUUUCUAGACAAUAUAUGUAAAAGCUUUUCAAAAUGUUCGUAUAAAGCUAUUUGUGGUGGCAUGUACCUUUAAUGCCAGCUCUAAGGAUGCAGAAAGAGGCAGAUUUCUGUGACUUUGGGGCCCUCCUGCCUGUGUACUGAAUUCCAGACCAGCCUCAAAUAUAUAGUGAGACCCUGGGCUAUGGUUUCUUCUGAUUGCUUGCUCGUUUUUGCAUUUUUAGGCUGGUCAAAGAAUGUAUAUAAAAGAUCACCCUAUUAUACCAAGAGCAGUUAUUAAAUAUAAGAAUUUUAGAUGCAUCCUUUGAAGCUCUUCAUCUUAGAAAAAAUGACGGAGAGAGAAUGAGUGAAUUGGCUUUGGUUUCAGUUUCAGAUCGUUAUGGCUCAGGUAAACCCAGAGCACAGAGUGAAGUUUUUAUGAGUUUUAUUUUUCUUGGAUAUUUUAUGUAUUUACAUUCCAAAUGUUACCCCCUUCCCAUGCUCUCCCAACCCCCUGCCCAUGCUUCUAUGAGUAUGAUCCCGCUACCACCCACCCAUUCCCAUCUCAAUGCCCUGUUCAGCUUGCAGCUGAAUAUUACACUGAAUAUGGGGACCACAAUGGAGGAGUUAGAGAAAGAACUGAAGGAGCUGAAGGGGUUUGCAAUCCCAUAGGAAGAACAACAAUAUCAACCAACCAGACCCCACAGCUACCAGGUAGGAAAACAUGAACUCAUGAGUACACAAGGAGGGAUCCAUGACUCCAGCCACUUAUGUAGCAGAGGAUGGCAUUAUCCAACAUCGAUAGGUGGAAGAGUAAAGGUUUUGAGCUCUAUAAUAAUUCAGCUCAAAACGGCUCCCCAGAGAGUCCUCAAGAGCCUUGGACAGAGCACAGUCAUCCAACGAAGCUGCCUGGUAAAGACAGGCUGAUGAAAAACAGAGCAGAUCACCCUUUCAGCUCCAAUGUGACAAGUAAGAAGAGGCAUUCUCUAAGUCACCUUGUCACCCAGAUCAUUGUUUAUACUUUGAUCAUUGUUUUUUGUGUCCCUUGGCCAGCUAGAAUACAGUUUUCAUAGAGGUCUCAUAUUAGUCCAAAAUUAGGAUUUUAUUUGGAAAACCCUUGACCUUAUAGAUCAAAAUGCACUGUAAAUGUGUCUUCAAAAUGGAUCGGGUUUCCAAGUUAGUGGAGAUCAUUUUUACACUUAAAAGAGUUGCUAACAAAGUAGUGAGGAUGGAGUAUACUGAAUAGAGACCCCAACGUCCAAAAGGCUUCAACCUCCAAAAGGCUUCACGUAUUUACUCUCAUGUCUCUAGCCCAGAUCUCAUCUGGUCCUGGAGAAAGUCCUUCUCCUGGUCUGUGGCGUCAGGAGACUUGUAGGGGUGCGUGAAGCCGACUUCUGGUACAUCUUUGUCUCUGGCUCAGUGCUAAACAUCCUGCCCUCAGUGUAUGAUGGGUAUGCCAUGGCUCCUGCAUUUAAAGGAAUGUUGUUAUGUUUAUUUUACUUGUUAUUUAAUGUGACACUUGGGUUUUUAACACUAUUUCUAAUACAUCAGCCUUCUAUCCCUGGAGAGAAGUGUGCAUAUAGCACUAGAACAGCAGCUAACAUCUGUCUUCACUGGAGAACUCUGCACUGAGGUCUGAGAUGAGCUGGAACACUUUCUUACUUGAGAAAUAUCUGACUUCUUUGAUACAGUUCUCAACAAAUUACAUUAACUAUCAUUCCUGAAUUUUGGUCAUUUAAGUUUAUUUCUAUUACACUAGUCAAAUAAGUUAAUGAAUCGGGGAACAUGAGAAUUAGUGUAAAUGAGUAAAUAAGAAAAUUUAAGAUUUUUUUUAUUGGGGUUGGGGAUUUAGCUCAGUGGUAGAGUGCUUGCCUUGGAAGCGCAAGGCCCUGGGUUCGGUACCCAGCUCAGAAAAAAAAAGAUUUUUUUUUUAUUGAAAGCAUAAGGUCAAAAUUACAUUUUUUAUCAUGGCUUUUAAAAUAUAUUCUUUAAAAAACCAUUUAUUUAUUUAUUUAUUUAUUUAUUUAUUUAUUUAUUUAUUUAUUUAUUUAUUUUAUAAUCCAAUAUUAGCCCUUCCUGUCUUGCCAAUAACCCCUCAUACAAACCCGUCUAUCACCUCUUCCUGAGAUGGCAAAGCUCCUUUUGGGGUGUCAACCCCCAUGAUUGCUUUUUUAAAGAUUGUAAAACAGAUCCCCGAGGACAAAGUUCACCUUUUAUGCAGUUUUAUGAAUCUCAUUGUUUAUUUCUUUACAUUUCACAAGAACAGACCCCUCUACGUAGUCCUGAAGCUAGGAGCUAAAUUGCAGGAGUGACAAUGCCACAAACAGCAUGCAUCAGUGUAUAGAAAAAUCUUUUUAUUCCUUUGUACACACAGGUACAGCUGGUUACUUGGAGAGUGAGCCAUAAAGCAGUGUCAGGUCUGGUUAUACACCCAUUCCUCAGUUUUCUUACCUCCUCUGUGAGAAAGAAACAUGCAUGAAAUUUUGUUAAUAUCUCUGGUGAGUCUCUGAAGUAUUAGAUCUUCGUCUUUUCUUUUCUCGGUGUGUUACCCCUUCGAUGGAAGAACUUCAGGAAGAGUUUUACCAACUUGAGCUGCAUUGAGUAGUGGCCAGCAUGGAUCUCUAGUGUGACAAUGAUAUGUGGAUCCAGAGCUCCUCAGUGGACUCUAUGACAUCCAGCCAGGAGCACCUGAAAUAUUCCUCCAAGUCAGUUACCCCUGCUUCCACUCUACCAAGAGUGGUCCUGGCCAUUGGAAAACCCAGCAGAGGUGCUGCCCACCCCUGUGACUGUCUUCCAGCCCAUAUGAACAGACCUCCCUCCACCACCUCCUCCACCACAUGUCCACCUACACCAGUGGUUUUGAUGGCAUUUCAGUGGCUUUGCCCCUCCCACCACCUUCUGCAAACAAGGCAGGAUCCCAGUCUGCUCAGGUGGCUGCUGGCUAGCAAAAAAGAAGGAGGAGCAGCAGUGGUGGUCUGAGAUAUAGAAGGCCUGCCUGGAUAAGGAAGCAGAGAGGAAGCACGGGGAGCAGGAGAAGAAUCUGGGGCAGAUGCACUCUCAUUCCCUGAUCCCUGCUUCCUUAUCUCUUUUGGCCACACCGGCCCAACCAGGAAAACCUUCCACACUGCAGAGGCCCCAAGAAACAGUUACUCUGGAGCUGUAGCCCCAGCAGCAGCCCCCCACUAUUGAGCACAGGAAUCUGCAGUAGAAAACUAUCAGUAAAGAGGAGUUGUCCUGUGGGGAUAGUCUGUCUCCAGACCCAUGGAAACAAGAUGCCAGGGAGAAGCUGGAGAAGCAACAGCAAAUGCACCUUGUGGACAUGCUAAGCAAGGAGAUCCAUGAGCUGCAAAACAAGGGGGAUGGUAGUGCAGAGGAGAGUGACUGCCUGUGGAAGCUUAUGCUGGAGUGGCUGUUUUGGAAGAGACUUCAGGCUAUAUUUCUUGUGUUUCUCCCAGGUUCAUUUCUUGAACCUGUUCUUGAAAACUGUUCAAGCAGCCCAACAUUUGACAUUUUCAAAGUAGAAAUUCAUAACAACUAUGUUUUUGACAUUCUGGCCUUAGAUAAUUCUACAGUGAUGUCUAUGGUUAAGUGCCAGGCAGUGAGAACCCAGGAGUGACGAUCAGAGGUACACAGGAUGACCUGAAGGUGAGGUGCUCCUGGAGCCCAGUGUCCUGAGUGCAGGUCCUCAACCUUACAGCUGCCCACUCCAGCUGUGCCUGGGAUGGAGCCAGUGCUACCGACCUAGGAAGCAGCUCAGGGACUGUGCUUACUAUGUUCCCCAUUGGUUCAGUUCAUGACAAAGGUUAAUCUGAAGUAACAGCAGGAAUUUUAGCCCGCUGGAAUUCUGUAUCUGAGAAAGUACAUGUCUUUAGGAACAUCAAGAUGCUCACGUCUAACACGUUUCAGCUUUAUAUGUCACAGAUAUCAUAAUAAAGCUGUUUAUAACCUUUUUCUGUUUGGGGUAGCUCAAGGGUAGAAUGUCCUGACCCUGAGUAUUAUAUCUAAUUACCCAGAGAGAGAGAGAGACAGGAAGGAAGGGAGGGGGAGAGGGAGGGACAGAGACA